rnacentral:lncRNA from 1 species
UUCUUUCUCUUGAAAACUUGUCUGACAACCCACCAAAUCAUUGAGUCCAUGGUUGUUAUCAAUAGUGCUAUGAUCACUAUCUUUCUCUAUUGAUUCAGAUGCAGAACAGUAACCAUCAUACAAGUCUUCACUUGCAUUCAACUUGGCAAUAAUCGCAUCCCUCCGGAUUUUGAAUUCUUUGGGGUGGUCAUGUUUAGCAAGAAAGAUAGCUAUGUUAAUUACAUCAAAGAUAUCACCUUCAUGAUUACUUGUCAAAUAGUUGCGCCAACAGUCGAGAAUCGAACCAUCCAUGUUUUACUAGAUAUCAGAAUCAACAAAACCACAGAAAAGUAUAGGGUGUGAUAUUGCAGCAGGAAAAAGUAAAGAAAGAAGAAUAAGAACUAUGAAUUGUGAUGUUGAAUUCACUACCUAUUUAUAUUAAUGUCUGCAAGUUUCAACAACAGAAACAUAUAUACACAUAUUAGAAUCGAAUUAGUAAAGCUAUACGAGUUUCUAACUUGGAAAUCCCACUUGUGAUCGGAUUGCAAAUCUGACAAGUUUUCUCCAAAUAUGGGUCUAGUAAUAAAACGCCCAUAUUUUUCUCAUUUUGUUUUAGAGGCCCGGCCCAAAGUAUUUGCUUGAUAAGAAAUUGAAUGAAAAGUAAAGGAAAAUAGAGACCAUGGUAAUGUGGUUAAAUAUGGAAAAACAGUGACACUGAUGACUAAGAAACUGUGAAGCUAAAUAUAGAACAGUGGAAUGGUGAAGAAUGGCAAAGAAGAGAAGGCAAAACCAGUGAAAUUGAAGAGAGCAGAAGAAGGAAAGAGAAAAGGGGACUGACAGACAGACACACAUCGUUUUAACUCCCUACCCGACGUAUAAUGGAUCUCCGGCCUACAUUGGUCGAUGAAUCGAGGUUUAGAUUGUAUGGAAACCAUAAGUUUAAUUUAUUCAUGUCGGUCAUAUCUGCCAAAGAAUAACUUUAGUUUACCUUAAAAAUCGCGACAUAUGUUCGGACUUCCGACCACCAAACAAAUUGGAACAUGGGUGGACAAAAGUGACUAACAAAUUUCAUUUCCAUCUUUUCUAAACUUUAUGGAUGAUCUUGAUUAGUUAUUACAUCAUCAUCAUAUAUAACCCUAUUCCCCCUUCUUCCUCGUGAAAUAGACUUAAGGGUUUCACGUGAAGUAGUUCAUCAUAUAUCUUCAUAUUCCUCGUAUGGACCACAUGCAGUACUUGUAUAUAUGAAUACAUAGUUGCCAUUCAUGUCCUUUAAGGUUUCCCUAUAGCUUAGCUAGUUUCUACUUUUCUAGUACUCUGCUCAAUAAUUUCUAUAUAACAACAACAUUAUGAAUCGACUCGCCUUAACAUAUAUAUGAUGGUCCAACGCGUUUGCUCCUAUGUGUUACAGAGUGAAGUUAUGCUAAGUUAUAACAGCAGACUGCACUGGAGGAAACAUCAUAUCACAUUGAUGAGUUGGUUUUUAUUGGGAUGCUUUGUUUGAUAUGUGUUCCUAGAACCUGAUUUUUGCUUUUUCACCAUUUCUUCUUGGCUUUGUAAGAAUGUUUCUCAUUAUAAGCAUUUCCCACAUCUAAAAGUUUCAGACAUAGGUUAUAUAAUAUAUAUAUAUAUAUAUAUACUGCUAGCUGCUGCUAGCAUAUUUAGUGAUUUUUUUUUUUUUGUUUGCGCGGUACCACGGACCAUGAUAAUUCAGGUUUCCAACUCAAUAAUUGAAUGUCAAACCUGCACAAAUAUCAUCCAAAGUUUGGGGGACAACAGUACCCAACAAGCAACAGAAUGUCAUUUCUUGCUUUUGUAAUAUCUUUGCUAUCAAUUUAUCAACUCAGGCAAGAUGCAACUCACAAAGCCAAGAGUGACAGGAGCUCCUUUCCAUCCAUGUAUCCCUGGUGCAAAAGAACAAGGUGCCACGUGCCAGGGAUGAUCAGUGGGAUCAAACAGUGAUGGUGUGGGACAGGUUGCGACCGCAAAUGGCACAUUCUGAUUGACCCCUACACACUGUCAUGAUCUUCUUCACGUGAAGUUCAUCCUCUUUAUCUCAAUUUCUCUAUGGAAUGGACCACGCAGAAUCAUUGCUAAUCGUUUUUAGAUAAUUGGAUUGUCCUACUUUUAACAGACCGAUACAAUAUUAUUGUCCAAUCUUUUAUCACUCAGGUUACCUCCCUCCACUCAAACAAACAAAACAUAUUCAGUUAACUAUGGAAUGCAUGGCUCAAUCAAUCAAAACGUUUUUUUGUUGUUGUAUAUAAUGAAAAGACCGAUCAUCUCCCUCCUUUUUCAUGAUAGAUAAGUCUGUUUUUAACGAUCAGUAACUCAGUAAUGCUUGCUGGAAUGGAAUCCCUGACCUCUGGGGUAUCAUUACCCAAAGGUUUAUUAAUUGAUCGAAUUCAUCGGUUCCUGGCACUUAACUAAGAAAAUUUUGGAAGCCAACCUUUUUUUCUAAUGCGAUCAGUAACCUGGGUGCUGAGUGGAUUUGAACCUCAGACCUCUAACAUCAUCACCCUGAGGCUAUGCCAAUUGAGGUCAGUUGGUACCAUUGCGACUCCUCCAGAUUAACCAAAAAGAACGACAUGAGGCAGACUAUAAUUUUUCAUGCACUCUUUGCCUUAGCAUUUCCACAGCAACAGACCAGUUUUUAAGGAGUUCGUCAAUUGAGUUUCAGAUUGUAUAAGAGGCAGUUUGCAUUUGUAAUUCCACCUAACACAAAAUACCAACAAUGUUUUAUCAUCAUCUUGACUGAUAAUGAUGAAAACCUGUUUUUAUUGCACACUAUAUUUUGCACCAUGAUAUGGUUUGAACUGAUCGAUAAGGAAUUUAUUUGAUGACGUCUCUCACUGUAAUUAUAUAGGAAUUACUUCAACCAAAUUUAGUCCAUAUAUUUUUCUUGGGCACAUGACAGCACUGGUACUAGUUAGAGUUUAAUUAUUGCUAAGGAGUUACUACUCAUCAAUAUGAAGUACCCAGCCUCCUAGCUGUUAGGAAAAAACACAGACCAUUUGUAGGUCUUGUCGUCGUCUAACUUUGCUGCAAAUUCUUCGAUUGAAAUUGUGAACUGCGAGUUCAAAAUUAUUUUGAGAUGAAUUACUUCUGCAUAGGGCCAUCAGUACUUGAGCACCACAUGGUCAUCAUUUUAUCCAAACUUCAAUCUUAUUAUCGCUGAUGCUAAUAUAUAUACACUUUAAACAAAACAAAGGAUUACAUUCAUCGAUCACAUUCAUUCCAAACUACUUUUAUUAAUAUCACAUGGCCAUCAACAACAUGACCAACCUACAAUAAUUCAACAAAGCAAACAAGGGAUAACUAUUGUAGAAGGACGUAGUCGGGUAACUCAAAUUCACCACAAGACCCAACAUCUAACCGUGAAGCCAAGAAAAAGAAGAAGAAGAAGAAUGUCUGAAUCCUCCUACUUAAUAUUCACACCGGCCAAUGAGUAGUAUUACAUGAAUGCAAGAAAUUAUACGAAGGAGCAAAACGUUGUUAUACCUAAUAACAAGUCUCAGCUGCCUUUAAAAAGGUUUCUGAUGUAUAUAGAGUAUAGGCUAUAGGUAAAUUGGAAACCUACUUGUUGCUAAGAGAAGUAACAAGAGUAAUCUCCAAGCCAGCUACUACUACAGGAGGGAGAGGAGAUCAUGAAGGAUUAUUCUACGAGAAACACACGGGCAUAACUGCACACCACACCAUGACAGGAUAGAAACUCAAUUCAUAUCCCGGACACGAAACUUAUUAGGAAUCUUAACAACAAUAUCAUACAUAUGUACUGAUUUGAGUUUUGAGAAAUCCUUAGGAACUGAAAUGAGAUCAAUGGAAGAAGAUUUAUGGAAUUGGAGAAGGUCAGGGUCAUCAUAAUACCUUUCCCAUCCUAAAUUUGUUAAAAUUCGCUCGAGGGAAGAAUAGGAAGAGAUAACUUCACCAGUUGGUUCAUAUACCAAAACCUUUCCUGAUCCUGCUGGUGGGUUUUCGACAAGGCGAAUUACACCAUUCUGCUUGAACACCCACACUCCAGACAUUUUAAUAUAUUACAGUAAAUAAAACAAGCUUAUUAAUAACAAGAAGAAAACAAAUGAUAUGAGUAUAUAUAUAUAUAUCAAAAGUGGGAAUGAAGGACUAGCUAAAAGAGGUUGAGAUGAUGGAUGAAGUGAGAAAUGGAGUUGUAAGAGUUUAUAUAGGGUUAGAAGGAUUUAAUUAAGACAAAAAAAAAACAAAGAUAAAUAUAUUUUGGGAGUGAGUGAGUGGAUUAUAAAGGAAGGUUCAUGUCAUGUUUGGCUUUAGAAGAGAAUCAAAGAUAAUUUGGGACCCAAUUGGUUUUAGUAAUAGAGUACAAUGGUUAAACCAUGUAGGUCAUAUUAAAUUAGGGUACAGAUACCAUGUGUUGGGUGGCUGGUAAAGGAAGAGAAUCUGAUUGAGGCAAAACCAUAAAAUCUUUAAGUUCCACCAAAAUUUGUGGAAUCUGAAACACAUAUUUUAUUGGCUAAACUUUCUUUGUCAACAACAAUCAAUUAUAGACCUAGUAUCAUGUGGUAUGCUCGUGAGAUGAAUUAUGGAAAAGUAAUGCAAAUGUCAUAUCAUAUGAAAAUGUGACAAUCAUUGUACAGUAGGGUUGUUGUAAGUAUAUAGUAUAUGGAUUUUUAGAAAUGGAUCAAUCGGCACAACCAUUAUUCAAAAUCUCAAAUUCCUCGAGAUUUCGACAAGUCUAAAACUCGAGAUUUUGUUUAAGAUCUCAGGUGCUUUUGUUGAGAUGAAUAAGAUUUUUAGCAAAUUUCGACACACAUUUAUAUGUAAUUAGUAUACUUAAAUUUAUUUUUUAAUAGAUUUCUUCUUGAUUUAAAAUAUUUACGGGCAAUAACCCGCAAAUUCAACCAAUUUUUAGUUUUUAAGUUAAUUUUAACAAGAUCUAUAAGUUGAAUUCUACGAGUUUCAUAAUUUCAAAUUUAAACUUUCAUUUAAAAUAAACUAAUAUUUACAAAUUGAUAGUAAUCCUUUAAUUUAUCUCUAAAAAACAAAUCAAAUAAUUUAUUAUUUUUUUUAAAUUAUUAUAUCUCGAACAUCUCAAAUUCUCAACACUAAACAUAUGAUUUCUCACGAUAUCUCAUAAUUUCUCGCGUAAUCUACAUUAUGAGAAAAACAAUUGUACUUCGGAAUUUAUUAUAGUAAUCUACAUUAUGAGAAAAACAAUUGUACUUAGGAAAAAAAAUGUUUGGCACCAUUUUCUUAUAGUAAUCUUCGAAGUUCUAAACACAACCCUAAUUGCAGGGCACCAUUUUCAUUAUGGAAUAUAAUCUUAAUGUAAAAAUCCAUUUGGAAUAACAUUAGAACUGAUGGAUAGCUACUGAUAGUAAAUAGGUUACCUUAGAUGAUUGUUUGAUAAGAAUACUUCUUAUCUUUUCCUGAACCGAUAAAUCCAAUUCUUCAAUUUAUAUCUUCUUGUGUUUAUAAUUGUGGAUUAGUUGUUUGUGACAUUUAGGAAUUAGAAUAUUUCUUAAAGUACACACACAAUGACAGAAUGAGUUGCAUACCCACACCAACUUUAGUGUUCAAAUAAGACAUUAUACAUAUGAACAAUCAAUACACACCAACUUAGUGUUCAAAUGAGAUAUACGUAUGAACAAUACAAUAAUUGGUAUGGUCGAUAGCCAAUGAUACACCUCUAGUUUCGCCUUGCUAACCAGAUCCAUAUAAAAAGGACCAUGCAAAUUCAUUUUAAUCCUUCUAGAUAGUCUUCUACACCCAAAAUAUCUUGUUCCCUAGAUGUUGACACAACGACACAAGAUCAUCUAUUCCAAUGGUCCCUUUUUCAUUGCAGGACCAGCAAUAAAUGCUACGGAACUAUGUGGGUCUCAGUUGAUAGUGUAACACUGGUUGGUUUGACACAAAAGUCUCCUACCUUUUCAAUUGGCAUUGUUUUCUUCUUCUUCAUUCUUUCUUUCUUCUGUGGUACCUGGUGAGUUCCCAGAAGCGAACUUGCUUCGUAACUGGUACCUGGUGAGUUCUCAGAAGUUGAGUUACUCUGACAUCAAUGGUGGUCCUCUAACUUCAUUUCUAAAGAGAAAAAGAUGAUAUUCCACCUGUUAGAGAAAGGGGACUACAAUUAUGCAUGCCAUUAUCCAUCCAGGCUCAUUCCUUGCACACCAUGGUCUUCCUUUAUCAUGCCAUGAGGGCCUGUAGACAUAGAUACAACAUGAAACUGACAUGUUAAAAACACAAUUCGAAACAAAUUGAAAUAAAUAAAAGAACCGAUGGAAUAUCUACAUGGAAAUUCUUCUUGAUCAAAGUGGACCACUUUCAAUCACUCUCUCAGAAUCAUCUAUCGCAAGUCUGUCAAUUACAUAUAUACCCUGUUUGAUGUCAUGCUACGUAAUUCAUAAGGAAUUUUUUUUCGCUGUUCUCCCCCAUGUUUUAACUAAAACUAGCCAUAUCGUUGUGUUUCAAGUGAGUGAACAAGUAAACACCCAUUCACACGUGAAACCAUACAUACACACUACAAAACCAAUACGCAUAAUGGAUAAGUAUCAGUAACUCAGUCAAACACUGUGCUCAACCAGCAUUUAGGCACUUAGCACAAUCAUGGCCAAUUUGGCAUUAUUGUUUAUAAGCUUAAGCCGUAUUUUUAGCUUACACUCAGCGUAGUAUCAAACUGAUGUUGUCAGGCGACUAGAAGAAGCACUGAACGUCAUCUUUUUGUGAAAACUUCUAUGAAUAGCAGUUUACAUGUAUAAAAUAAAGGGAUAAAGCAGAAGCAAUACCAAAUGGGACCUCACACUUUGAGGAAAGUAUAGAUGCUUUUAUACUAGUGAAACAAUGAUGAUGCUCACUUGGCACCAACAUUCCCUACAAUUUGAUUUGCCCUCUCAUAAAACGUGGCAUGGCAAGCCCGCAUCAGCUAGCUCUUCGAUUUUUUGCUUAUCUUUCGGAAUUAUUUCUUCAAAUACUUAAUUCAGAAAAAAAUUGGUGGGGCUGAUUCCCUCAUCCUUCAAACAAGCUUUUGCAUAAUGCCAACUUUAUGACAUUUCAAGUGAGAAUCAAGAGAAAGUAAGUCUCCAUAUUGAUAGGAGAGCUUGGAAUCUUCAUAAACUAACUAAACCAUAUAAGCAUCACAGGCAAAUUCCAAACUCAAUUACCCUACUUUGUGUAAACCUUUUUUAAUCUUCUUUUCAAAAGAAGUAUUAAAGAGUAGCAGCCACUCAACUUUAUUUUUAUUUCUCUAAGGUUUCUCUGGUUGAAUAGAAUAUAUUCUCCCCAUUUAUGGAAAUGUGAAAGAUUUGAACCUAGAUGAAGGGAAGUGCAACAAGUAACUUAGAAACUACCUUUAGGGAAUAUGUUAAAGUUAUAAGUAGGGUCAAAACAAUUUAUAGAUUAGUAGCCUACCUUUGGUUAGUGAGAACAUACAUUCUGAUCAAACUGAAUUCAAUACGAGAAGAAUAAAGUCAGAUAAAAUUUCCAAAAGGAUUUACAAAUGAAAGACGUCUUGCAAAAGGUAUAUUUAAUUCAUAAGCGCAACAUAAGGAGACCCUCAUAGAAAAGAGAAAAAUCAUAAUUGAAAAAUAGAAGAAUAAAUGCAAGUUAAGCAAGGCCAUAUAUUAGCAAGAAACAUCUAAUCAUAUAAGCAAUCAGAAGAGUAAAGAAUGUUUGUCUUACUAGUAGUGCGCAUAUGUACACCAAGAAUAUAAGCAUCAUUACUAACAUAAUCAUAUACACAUUCCUUAGCAAUAGAGGAAUCAUGACCUACCAGUAUUAAUUUUCAUCAAAAAUUUCCUAUCUUAUUAAUGCUAGUUUUUUUAAUCCAAAGACGUGAUCCCAAUAACAAUCGUUCAUAAAUGAGUGUUGGAGUAAAGCCUGUUACAUUGUGCUCCAAUUCUACUUAAUUUUACCACGUCAGUGGAAAAUUUCUACAAGUCUACAACAAUCCAACUUUGUCAUCCUGUUUGUAAAUGCUCGAAUAAGUUCUUUCUGGUACUUAACUAUUAUUGUACGUGUUGAGCUUUGUCUUUGUAGUAUUUAAGCUAUCUGUCUGAAUGAUUUAACAUAUACUUACAAUAGACUCACGCCAAUUUUAUUUUGGAUUAAUGUAAUCAAGUUAUCAAACUACGUAACAUGACAAGAUAAAACCUAACCUAGUGUUUCAAAAGAAUAACAUCGCCUUUACUACAAAGUCAUACAUAACCACCUCUGUUUUGUUAAACAAAGUUCAACAGAAACAUUGCUUCAACCUUUCAAGUGAGAUUUUGGAUUUCUACCCUUGUAUAUAUACUAAAGGCAUUUAUUUUGCUUACUUGAGUGAUGUGCUAAGACUUGAGUGAAAAUCGAUAUAUAUUUGGAAUAAUUAGGCAAAUUUGGAGCAACCAUUACAAUGGUCGAUUUUUCAUACUUGUUUGGUUGAGCCAAUGACAACAUCAAGUCUUGAGCUUUGGCUUAAGUAAAAGGGAUGUGUCUGACUUGUUAUGAGGUCUAAAUUGUCGUGGUCUGGGCCUAGACAACGUGGUUUGAACCUGCUUACAAUAGUGAACAUAGAUAACUAGGAUAUAGGAAUGAGAUUAGAACUGACCAUAUCCAAACCCAUAUAUAAUAAAUAUUAGUGAGGAUUAUGAUAUAUGUCUCAGUCUCAUGGAUAUAUACUUCAUAUAGAAUCUCUCAACAAGGCUAUGCUUUGAGGUAGUAAUGCAGACCUUGCUAUUGACAGCUUAACACCACAAGAAAGUCUUUUUAUAGGGGGCCUUUGCUCUUAGGAACCUAAUCCUAUGCGACCUAGAGGCUCCCAACUUUCCAGCUGCUGCGCGUAUUUGGAGUCUAAGGUUCUUCCUAGAGUAACAUUUUUUUGGUUGUUGUGUGACAUCAUAAUUUGAACACAUUCUUACGUAUAACAACGAACAAAUUAGAAAGAGAAACUCUAGAGAGAUGUUCACGAAUUUUUGUUCCCUUCUGGGGGAUGGGCAAUCAGUUAAUCAAUUAUCGACUCUUUUGUCCCUUUUCUCGCUUUGGGUGGUUCCAUGUAUAGUGAAGGACCUCUUGACAUUGUGGCAUUCAAGUUUGUUCUCUCCGAAAGUCAAUCAGACAAUCACCUUUGGAGCACCAUCCCCUUUGUGGUGAUGUGGGUAUAUGGUUGGAAAUAAAUAAGGACUUUGCUGAAGGGGUUUCUAGGAUGCUCGAACAAGUUAUUAGCGCAAUCAAGAACGCCCUCUUUCAGUGGUCUUGUUGAAAGAAGCCCUCAGAAGAAUCUGUGAGAUAUACCUUUUGAGUGUUGACUAUAUCAUUUUUGGUGGGAGGAUAUUAUGAUUGAUGAGUGGCCUCUGACUAACCUGAUGAUGUACCUUCGUUUGAUAUAUAUAUAUAUAUAUAUAUAGACCGGGUUAGCAUUGAUUAGAUAGCACCACCACUCUAGCAGGGGUUCAAACUUUAGAAAUUGAUCAUACACUGGGUCAACUUCAAUGUUAUUACAAAACUCAAGAUUGGUGAAUGAUCAGUUAUACUUGAUUUAGGAUAUAAGAAUAUAGUGAAAAGUAUAUAAAUUGGACUCUUAAAAUCAUAAGGAUUCUUUGGGAUAUUUUUUUGGAAGUUUCUCUAAUCUAUUGUUACAAAGACUUAACUUUGACUUGAACACAGUAAUUAUCACAAAGAUAUCAAGUUGUUAUAAAGUAAUAAUAACAAUAAGAGAAACAAGUGCGAAACUUAGUAGAUGCUGAUACUUGAAUUUAAAAAAUGUCGCAAUUGUGUACCUUAAAUAAAUCUUCUAAGUUGUGUCUGCAGUAGUCAGCCAUUACCAGAUACGUUAACCCAACUAGAUCCAGGAAUUUUCUUUACAUGUGUAGUGUCCAUCAAUUCUCUCAGCUUUCCAACAUCACCCCAGUUGCUUGAAUCAGCAAAUAUGUUUGAUAGCAACACAUAAGUAGAAGGAUCCUCUUUGUCCAGUGCAAGAGCAUGCUCUGCUGCUCGCUUACCAGCCUCCAGGUCUCCAUGAACCCGACAAGCGCCAAGCAAGGUCUGCCAUACCAGAACACCUGGUCGAACGGGCAUACUUCUGAUUAGAUCCUCUGCUUCUUUAAUCCGUCCUACUCGUCCAAAGAGAUUUACCAUGCACGCAUAGUGAUCUUCUCCAGGAGAGAUGCCAUGGUCACUUUCCAUGGAGGAGAAAUACUUCCAACCUUCUUCAAUAAAACCUCCCUCGCAGCACGCAUAUAACACACAGAUAUAUGUAAUAUAAUUUGGUUCCACAUGCUCUAACCUCAUCUUGUUGAAAAUCUCCAAAGCAUCUCUAGCAUGGCCAUUUUGUGCUAAACCCAUAAUCAUCGUUGUCCAUGAAACAACAGAGGGAUCUUUCAUCAAUUUAAAUACCCCCCAUGCGCCUUCAAUGAACCCACAUUUGGCAUACAUGUCGAGCAGAGCAUUAUCAACACAUAUAUCAACUUCAUCACCUAGCUUUAUCCGCAGAACGUGAGCCUUUUUACCUUCCUCCAAGGAUGCCAAACUGGCACAAGCAUUAAGUGCUGUUGCUAAUGUAAAUUUGUUUGGUUUCACACCUAUUUUUUUCAUCUCUUCAAAAACCUCAAGAGCUUUAUUCGGUUCACCACAUUGUAAGCAUCCAGAAGCCAUUUCAGUCCAAGAGAUCACAUCUUUACUAGGCAUUUCAUCAAAUGCUCUCAAACCUUCAGACAACUUUCUAUUCUUUAGGUACAUGUCAACUAAAGAAUUCCCAACACAUUUUUCAUCGCCAUAACCCUGCUUAACUAGCUGUGCAUGAACUUGUAACCCCAUUUCCAAAUCAGAAAGAACAGCCAAACCAGUAAAAACGCUUGAAAAUGUGAAGUUAUCAGGCUUCACACCAUCAUAAUUCAUCUUACACCAAAUACGCGGGACAUCAGUAUAAGAAUAUUGCAAAUAACCAGCAAUCAUUGCAUUCCAUGACACAACAUCUCUCACUGGGCAUUUCUCAAAAAGUUCCACUGCAUCAACUAACUUCCCAUGUCUCAUCAAUGCAGUCAAAAAAGCAUUAGUCAAAAAUACAUUCGACUCAAACCCAAGUCGAACAAUCAAACCAUAAACUUGAUAAACUUGAAUCAUACUACCUUCAACAAGUGAACAAGCAUGAAGAACACUAACAAAUGUAAACUCAUUUGGGUUUACCCCAUCUCUACGCAUACAUAAAAACAUCCCAAGAGCUUCUUUAGAAGCACCAAACUGAACAAAACCAGCAAUAAUAGAAGACCAAGAAACAACAUUUCUUUGAGGCAUUUCAUCAAAGAGUUGUAAUGCUUUAACCGUAUCCCCACAUUUUGCAUACAUGUUUAAAAGAUGAUUGUGAAUGAAUAGUGAUGAAAGCAAUGAUUGUUUAAUAAGUUUAGCAUGAAUUAAUCUUCCAUAUAUUGAAUUCGAUGUUUCCGUGCAUUUCUUUAAGAUUUCAGAAUACUUUUCUUCAUCAUCUUCUUGUUGCUGUUGUUGUUGGAUGGAGAAAGUUUGUGAUGAUUGGAAUGUGUUAUAAAAAGCUCUUGUUGUUGUUGAAAAUGAAAUGAAGUUGAAUUUGCGAAGAGUAAUUGAAGUUGAAGAAAGCAUUUGUUUGCAGUUGCAGCAGCAGCAGAAGAAUAGUUCAUUUUCUUUGCAUUGAGAAUGAAACGACCGUUAUGUAUAGUUAAGAAAAAAAGGCGCGAUUUUAUGGGAAGUGUUUUCACGUUCUGGUAUAAAUAAUAUCAUAUUAGAAUUUCAAAUAAGAAGCGCAUCUGGUGUAGUGGUAUCAUAGUACCCUCCCACGGUACUGACCAGGGUUCGAUUCCCUGGAUGCGCAAGUUUGUUGUUCUUUUUUGGAACAGUAACAUGUUUGGGUACUGUAAUGUUUUUUUUUUUUUUUUUCAAGGUUGAAAUUAUAUAAAUCACCAAAGUUCAGAGAUACAAGCCUGAUCAGCAGGUGUUAAUAAACCCCGUCAGGUAAGGAACAGCCCAUAAUACAUGGUUGCGAGACCAAAUGAGUUAUUUGUCCUCUGCAUGGCUGCAUCUCAUGUGUUUCCCUGGCUUUCGUUUCUGUUGUCUGCUGCUACCGCAAUAAACAGUACCCUUGGCUUCAGAGAAAACUACUGCUGCUCAGGUACUGUUAUAUGUGUUAAAGCUUUAGUGCUUUACAGCUCCUAUGGAUUUUAAUUGUCUAACCAAAAUUUACAUUGACAAUGUUUAUUUAGAUGACUAGGUAGCCUUCAUUUCCAGAAGGGACGCUUCAAAGUACCGCUCCCUUAAGGGAACUGUUCCGUCGUGGUUGCAAGUUGAUAAGAAGAGUUUUGAGGGGGAAAAACAUGUUUCAAGAUUCUCAAGUGUAUAUAUAUGGAUACAUUGCUUUCAGUGCAAAAAGUGGAGAACCCAUGAGCUUAUGAAAAUUAUGUGCAAGACGACCUCAUUCUUCAGAGAGAAAGUAGACCACAAAUUGGAAUGAUCCUUCAAGCAGAACCAAUGAACUAAACAUUAAAUCUUGGUAUAUUUACAGGUUUCAAUGCUCGUUAAGCAUGAUUACAAAAAUGAGGACUGUGUUGUGAAUUCUUUACUUGAUAUGUACUUAAAGAAUAGAAAAUUGAGUGAAGCUUUGAAAACGUUUGAGGAAAUGUCUCAUAAGGAUGUAAUCUCUUGGAAUGUAAUGGCUUCCGGGUGCUUACAAUGUGGAGAACCGAAGGAAGCACUUGGGAUCCUUGAGGAGAUGAAAAAAGUGGGGGUGAAACCAAAUAAAUUCACACUAGCAACAUCACUUACUGCUUGUGCCACUUUGACAUCCUUAAAGGAAGGUAAAAAGGCUCAUACACUGAGGCUUAAGCUAGGUGAUGAAGUUGAUAUUUGUGUUGAUAAUGCUCUGCUCGAUAUGUAUGCUAAAUGUGGAUGCAUUAAUGGUGCAUGGGGUGUAUUUCGAUCAAUGAAAGACCGCUCUGUUGUUUCUUGGACAACAAUGAUAAUGGGGUUUGCGCAUAAUGGCCAGCCUAGAGAAGCCCUAAAGAUUUUCAAUAAUAUGAGGUCAGAGCGUGUGCAGUACUUUUAUUUGUGUACUUAACGCGUGUAGUGAGGGAGGCUUUAUUGAAGAAGGCUGGGAGUAUUUCUCCUCCAUGACAAGUGACCAUGGAAUCUCUCCUGGCGAAGAUCACUAUGCAUGUAUGGUAAAUCUCCUUGGUCGAGCAGGAAAGAUUAAAGAAGCAGAGGAUCUAAUCAGAAGUAUGCCCUUUCGACCAGGUCCUCUAGUAUGAAAGACCUUACUUGGUGCUUGUCAGGUUCAUGGAGACCUGGAGGUUGGAAAGCGAGCAGCAGAGCACACGCUUGCGCUAGACAAAGAAGAUCCUUCUACUUAUGUGUUGUUAUCUAAUAUACUUGCUGAUUCAAGUAACUGGGAUAGUGUGGGGAAGUUGAGAGAAUUGAUGGACACUACACAUGUAAAGAAACUCCCUGGAUCCAGUUGGAUCGACUUAGCUGGUAAUGGCUGACUACUGCAGACACAACCUGAAGGAUUUAUUUAAGGUAUAAGAUUGCAUCGAUUAUUUUCAACUCUACCAGCUUCUGCUAAGUUUGAUCUUGUUUCUCUUACCUUUAUCAUUAAUUUUAACAGCUUCACAUCAUUUUAAGAAUUAAUUGUGUUAAGAUCAACGGUCAAUCUUUGUAACAAUAAUACAAGGAAGUAAGAAAUUUGAAUCCUAAAAAAAAGUCAAAUGAAAUUGUUAAGAGGGCAAAUUAAAUGCUUCUUAGCAACAAUGUUCUCUGUUUUGUGAAAAAUAUUAAUCCAUACAGUGCAACUUUCACUUUAUAAUAACAGUAAAGUUCAUGUGCUACAACCUUCCUAUAUAUGUCCUAAUGUCUAAAUUCUCCUGUUUCAAACCCUCCUGCUCCUAGAAUGGGGUUGGGAUGCUGUUAAUGGUUCGAUUGAUCAAAAGAAGAAAAUGGUCCCGAUUUUCUUUCUUGUGGAUGUAGUAUAUCAAUGUUUCUAUUACUAUUUUAAAUCAAAUCCCAAAGACCUAUCUUUUUCUUCUUGCAUGUCUAUCUGCAAUUCUAUUUUCCACCUUAGCAUAUUUCUAUCAGACUCUCAUUCCUCACACAAUCAGGUUAGGUCAUUAGGUAUCAAAAUAUUAAACAUUUCUCUCUCUUUUAAGACUCCUUUUACCUGGUUCUAUGUUGCUUUGAGAACAUCACUGCCUCCAUACACAGGUGUGAUAAUUGACUUGUUAGGUUUUUCUUGUAUCUAAUAUUGUUCUCAUGCUCUCUUAUUUCUGUUUCAUUUCAUGAAUGCUAUGUAUUUCAAGAUCUCUUAGAAUGAUCAUGUUUUUCUGGCUGUUGCCGUUACAUCUAAUCCAAGUGAAGCUGUCGAUUAGUAUUACUUCCAUCUCCUGCUGGGGAGGUUUAAAUUUCUCUUAACUUUGCACAAAGCUAGCCCAAUAGCUUACUUUUUCAAAUUGAAAUGAUCCCGUCUCCUUCUGCAAGGUGAACUUUGGCAAUGGGGUAGUUGCAAGUCAGAUAAGUCCUGUUGAGGCCUUGGGCUGCAUGUUCAUAUCAAAGCCUCGUCUUGGUGUUUUCUUUGCUGCAGUAGCUCAUCAGUUGCAGCCACAACCCUCUUCGAUCUUGUCAUCCCCAAGGUGCAUAAGCUAUUUGUAUUUUGUUUUAUAUGUAGGGGCAAGUUAAUCUACACACUGUCUAUACUGACACGAUCCUAACCACUUAUGUAGCACACAUUACAGUGCAAGUAUUUUGUUAGUAAAAUGAGUUUUGAUGACAUCAUAUAAAGAAAAUCCUACAUUAGGUAGGAUGGGGGGAGGGGGUGUGAAAGAAACCUCAAGUCCAGGGUCUCCAGAGUGGUAUAUAAGUGCGGCUGGGACUGGCUCUUGGGCUCAGUUAAAUGUCUAGCACCUAUUGCCAGGAGGGUUAAAUGGCUUACUCAUUAGCAGGCCGCAGGGUGCUCUCUCCUGCUACAUGUAGCAUAGGAGAGAUUUAUGCCGGAAAAAAACAAAAGUGUGUUUGAAGAUAAACUUUGUAAUGCUCAACAAAUUAUAUGCAAUCGUUAAUGUGGGCUGGGUGAUUUCAUUAUUUCACUGCCAGGGGCGCGAGUUAUGAUGGCAAGAAUCACUGGGACGUGUGGGGUACUAUCUUAGAAUCUGUUCAGAUCAUUAGUGUGAGUCUUUCGCUUUAAAUAUUCAAUAUAAGGAAGCUGUUGUUUAAUCUACCUAUAAGCAGAAAGAGUGGAAAAUUGAAGAUAUAAAUAAUAUGCCCUUAGAUUACUUCCUCAUCCUAAGUUCUGUCUUGAAGUCAGACUUCAAAAGUUCUUACCUUAUUCUUAGCAUUUCUUUCUUUCUGCAACAGUGCAACUCAAAGGUUUAAUUUAUCCUUGUUUCUUUUGGUUUUAUUCAAUCCACUAAAGGUAAUUUCAGUUUAAUGGUGAAAUAUUGAUACCCAUGAACUUGUAACCCCAUUGAAAGAUGAGCGAGAGCCCCUAAACCAGUGAGAACACUUGAAAAUGUAAACUUAUCAGGCUCUACUCCUUCAUGGUUCAUCCUAGACCAAAUACGCGGAAUAUCUGUAUAAGAAUUUUGUAAAUAUCCAGCAAUCAUUGCAUUCCAUGUAACAAUAUCUCUGUUUGGGCACUUGUCGAAAACUUCCACUGCCUCAAUAAACUUGCCAUGGCUGAUCAAUGCAGUGAGAAAAGCAUUUGUUAAGAAGACAUUGGACUCGAACCCAAAUCGAAUUAUCAUACCAUAAACCUGAUAAGCUUGAAUCAUACCCCCAACAAGCGACAUACCAUAAACUUGAUAAGCUUGAAUCAUACCCCCAACAAGCGAACACGCAUAAAGAACACUUCCAAAUGUAAACUCAUUAGGCUUCACCCCAUCUCGACGCAUCCGAAAAAACAUGGAAAGAGCUUCCUUAGGAGACCCACAUUGGAGAAAACCAGCAAUGAUGGCAGACCAUGAUACAACAUUUCGUUGAGACAUUUUAUCAAACACUUGUAAAGCUUUAUCCAUGUCCCCACAUUUUGUGUACAUAAUGAGAAGAUGGUUCUGAAGGAAAUGAGAAGAUGGUAAAAACUGCUUAACAAGUUUACCAUGGAUUGCUCUUCCAUGGUUUGAAUUUGAGGCUUUCGCACAUUUCUUUAACAAUUGAGAAUACUUCUUCUCUUCUUCUUCCCUAAUGAACUUGUAUUAAGUAUAAGCCCUUCUGUGAACUGAAAUGAACUUGAAUUUGUGAAGAAUGGUUUUUGACAAAAGCAUGUCCCUCGACAGAAAACAACCUCGAAGUUAUCAAAAUUCAAAACUAGUCUUAUUAUAUAUACAUUCCACACCGAAACAAGGAAUGUUCAAAAGGUAUCUGGUUUCUCAUAUUUGUUGUUGACAUACAUAAAAAAUUACAUUAGGUGUUUGCCUACCCAAUAAUAAAUACCCUUACACCGUCACAUAUGUAAAAUACAAUAAACAAAAAUCUUCCUUAUGGGGAUAUUGCAAAGAAUUUUAGACCAACAAGUGCACACUCUUUAAUCGGAGAGGGCGAAAAGCUGGGAUGGAUCUCCUAUAUAUGAUACUUUGACAGGCAUUUUACUUUUCUUCUUUUCUGGCUUCAAUGAAGCAAGAAUUACCAUACAUCACGCAGAUACCUUCCAUCCAUUUGCAUAUUCUUUACCAUAAGCUCAGUCUUUGAGUUAUCCAGAGAUCCCUGAAAGCCAAAUGUCCAAUGUAUUUGCUGUUAGUUGCAUAAUUUUUCACAUUUUAGUAGUUCAUAACCACCACAAUAUAAAUUUAAAAUGAAACCUAGAAUUAUGACACAUUUUGCUACUAGCUUAUCACAUCAGAUCCAAGCACUGUCCAUGAAAUGUUCGCUUCUUGGGAACACAUGAGAUCUAAGCUUCAUGGUUGCAAAACAAGAAUACUUAAAUAGACGAAUGGUAGUAGUGAUUUGAAAGCCAACCACAAUAAAGAAGACGAGAUAGUUGUUGGGCUUAAAAUGCCAUGACAUAACCUCCUGCCUAAACACUGAUCUUGUGACCACGACAAUUUUUCAAGUAGCUAUGGUGGAAAUUUUUGUAGGUACAUUAUACAUGUGUGUCAGUGAUACGUAUUAAAAAAUUCCAAAUAUUAUUUUCCUUCACAUGUCUGCCACUAAACAAUGAUACUGCCAAACCACAAGUCCAACCAUCAAGUUCCAAGUAAAUGAAUCAUACCUGCUCCUGGACAAUGGUGUGAAGAGUUCGGUGGACAUCCCUGGCCAUGCCUUUUGCAUCACCGCAGACAUAAAGAUAACCACCCUGAGAAAUCAUAUUCCAGAUAUCCGAGGCCUGAAAAACAAAAUUUUCCAUGUAAAAAUGAUUAAUCAUGCCUAUCAAAAAGAAAAAAUUGACUAACCACAAAAUACACCAACAGAAGGAAUAAGAUGGAAGGUGCAUUUAGUAAAUUACCCUCUCCGUCAUCUUAUGCUGCACAUAUUGCUUAUUAGGACCCUCCCGUGAGAAAGCAACGACUAGCUCAGUCAGUGCACCAGCUUCAACAAAGCUAUUCAACUCCUCUUCAUAGAUAUAAUCCUAUAUUAUACAGUCAAGUCAAAUUAAACUCCGAUAACUAAUAUGGGACCAGUGACAACCAAGUAGCUGCAAAUGAAUUUACCGUAUUGCGGUUUCUGCAACCAAAGAAGAGGAUUGCAGGUCCCAGUUCUGUGCCGGCUCUUUUCAGAGCUAAACGUUCCUGAUUCGAAAUACAGAAAUUGUUAGUUGAUGCUAUUCGGUAUAUCGUAAACGUCAAAAAGAAAGGAUGGUGAUGGCAUAAAUGACGAACCUGUAAAAAUCCUCUGAAUGGGGCUAAACCUGUGCCAGGACCAAUCAUGAUAACUGGCAAGGUUGUUUUAGUUGGCAAUCUAAAGUUGGAUUGCCUCACGAAAAUGGGUGCCGAGGUGCAAUCAGAGCUUUCAUCUGAUGGCACAGAAUUCUGUAAAAGACUAGCAGUUAAUAUGAUGCAGAUAAACUCCAGGUAACAAAACCGUGUUAGUGUAAAACUGCAAACUCAUAUGCUCAUCAUGAUGAAAUAAUGUAAAAGAAGAUAUAUGCAACAAAAUGGCAGACUAUUAGAACAUAUGUUGUGUAAGUGUAAAGGAGUUUGCUUGCAAAUAGUUGGUUGUCUAACGUCCAUACAUGAACACUUGUAUAUGACACUCCUAAAGAGUUGAAACAAUUUGUUUCGGAAUUUUUGACACAAAAUUGGUUGAGUUUGCAAAGUACAGUACAGGUGAUCCUUUUAAAGUUGACCUAAGGAAUUUAUAUUUUGGACAGAGGUAUUUUCAGUGAAUUGAUCUUACAUAAGAUGGCUGAUCAAAAGGUCCAAAUGACCUCAUUAGCUAGUUCUCCAUAGCUAUUUUGUCAUGCAAAACCAGUAAAGUUUUAAAUUGAAUAGUAACAUCAACUGGAAAAAAAAAAUUAAUUUCCAAAAGGACUGAAGUAUUCUCAAUCAUAACCUAGAGCACUCAGUCCUCAAUUAACAAUAUAUUUGUUAAGCCCUACACCAAAUAUGUCAAAUAGGAAACUCAUAGAAAGGAAUUUACCUUCAUCCAAGUUGAGCACACUCCUUUGUGAAUACGACCUGUUGGUGUUUUCUCAUACACCAAUGCACUUGUGACAUGGAUUCUAGUUGGUGCUAUCCUGUAACAAGUCAAAAUUAAGACAAUUUUAGAAAAGACAUAAUAACAAUCCUUUUCCAUGUAAUUUAUGAAAAUCAAAUUUUAUUGGACUGGUCUGGUUCUUCACUAAAGUAAUAGACCUUUGAGGUGGGAGACAGACUCAAGAUCAACCCACCCUACAGUCAUAAAUAUGCUGAAAACCUUCAAGGUUGAGGUGCUACAUUUCAUAUUGUUGAAAUUCCCUUCAGCAAUCACCACUAAUAGUAAUAACACAACGAAUGAAUAGCUAAGCUUAUUCACCUUGGGGAUGAUGAUAUGGAAUAAUAACGGGGCUGCAACCGAGGAGCUACUGCAGCAAAGAAAACACCAAGAGGAGGCUUUGCUGAUGGAAAUUCAGCCAUAACCUCAAGGAGACUUCUCUGACUUGCCACUACCCAUUGUGCAUAUUCAUCCUGCAGAUAGGAAUAUAGGUUCACUUUUAUACUUUGUGAAAAACAGAAGUAAGCUACUGGACUAGUUCCUUUACUUGUUUAUUGAAGUUUAGAAAAAUUCAAACCUUCCCAGCAGGAGAUGCAAGAAAUCUUAAUCGGUCAGCUUCACUUGGACUAGAUGCAUGAGCAGCUAAAGCCAUGAGAGCAGCCUGAACAAGAUGAUUGUAUUUACAACUAAGCAAUCGAAAUAUACAUAAUGUUCGUGAAUUUAAAAUGAACAAAGAAGCACAUGAAUUCACAAUUUAAGACAAUACCUUUUUAGGGGAAUUCAAAAGAUCUGCAUAUAAGGUCAGUGCUGUUCUCAAAGUGCAAGGAGAUGGGAAGGGAGGUGCCAGCGUGCUUCCACCACGUGGAGUGCCAUCCUCAUUAUCAGUAUGGAUGGAGAAGAAAGUAUCUGGCGAGUAACCUAGCAACUUUUCUGCCUCUUCCACAUACUCAACACCAUUUUCGGAAUAAACGCCAACAUGGUCUCCUGUUUCAUACCUAGGAAAAAGGGAGAAUAUGUGCAUUUUAGCUCACUCCGUCGAAAAGUGAAAGUCAACUCAGUAAACCACCACAUGGAAGAAUAGCAGUAAUCAGCAGCGCGGCAUUUCAAAUAUAAUAUAACUUUUCUUUUACAUACAGAAAAUAUAUAAGAGAUUAUCAGAUAGACUUACAUAAUUCCAGUUCCAGAGAUGUUGAAUUCCAGAUGAAUACAAGAACGAUCGGAAGCAGGAGUAUGAAGCUCCCUCCUCACAGCCACAUUGGCCCUUCAUAAAAGGACAAAUAUUAGUCUAUAUUUGAGGAAUGAACCAUGUCAUAUUAACUUGAAUACUGAAGUACAUCCUGUAAAAAUUAUCUACUACCUGCGUGGAUGCUGAGCAUCAGCAGUUGUGUGUCCAUUUGCAUUACUCCAGUUCUUGUCCUGUGGUGAUGCAUCUGAAGUGUUGUGAAAUACAAUGCGGUAUUCAGGUACAGCUGCAGUAUAAGGAGUAGAAACACUUGUUGCAUCGUCUUCGUCCAUGAGUAACUUAUCCAGCUCAGGCCACAACAAUUCACGCCUAGCACAUAAAUGUAAAAUCAGGACAAAAAGGAAACUCUCUAAAACAGGGGAAAACGAAAGAAAACGGAGUCCAUUAGAUUCAACAGGUGAGGGUGUUCUUUGCUUACCAUGCUGUAAAGUCGUCCUCAAUGCAUUGAUCAUCAUCUCCAAGACCCACUGGAACCAGACGCUUCCCACCUAGCAAAACGAAAAAAUGUGGCAUCAGCAAUAAGUAAAACAAGUUUUGGUAUUUGGAGAUGACUUUAAACAAACGUGCUUCCUUCCAAAAAAAGAAUUCGUCAUUGUGUAUCAUGGUCACUUUAAAUACGUUAAAUUUGGAUUACAAAAUAAAUUCAUUAAUACUAGGUGAUAAGCAUCAGGAAUUUUAUAAAGAAUUUUAAGAUCCAAUUAGACUUUGAAAAUUAGUCAAAGCAACCAUAGAUAUAUGUUAUUUGCAAAGAGAGGCAACAGUUUGAAUCUUAUUAUAAAAUAUAUAAAAAGAACACAAAGACAUAUCUUAGGUUCUAGUUAUGAAAUUUAGGUCAAGAUGCUUCAGAAACACAAAAGCCAUUACAAAAAUAAAACAGAAAAGCACACCUCAGAUACAAAAAUAAACAUAACAAAAUAAGGGACAUAUAAGCAUUCAUGAGCUAAUCAAUAAAUAACCUACUUUCUUCAUUAUAUACCCAAGUUCCCUUGAAGUCACAGCUGCAGCAUGGGAAAAAGCUACCUUCCCAUGAAAUAUCAUGUGUGUCACAUAGAAUGCUACAUUGCACACAUCUAAAGCUACUCUAAUAAGGGUAUCGUAUAAAUUUGUGUGAUCUGCAUGAAAUAGGAUUCAUAGGAUGCUAAGUAUAUUAAACGGAGAAAGGGAAAAGAACUUCAUACAAAAAAACUUUUCAGUAAACACACAACGUGACUGAUGGUAUGUGGAAUCAAGAGGAAAUAUAAGUUGGAGACACCCAAUAAUGCUUUCCAGUCAUGUAAUGGCAGUCUAAGUGUCAAACUUGAAGAGGAUAUUAAUAACAGAAUUAUACUUUAACAAUGCAUAAUGCACAUAUCACGCUUCGAAUUAAUGACCAGUAAAUCUCCAUACAACAAUAAUGAAAGAUAAGCAACAACAUACCCUGUUCAGCAAAGAUGUCAUCCACAACUUUUGCAACCUGAUCCCAAAAUACAUAAAAUAAACACGCUAUUAGCAAUUUCAAUAUAACAAAAACAUAGAAAUGAAUAGAAACAGAUAAUUUUUAACUUAAUGGGACAAACAUGAUAGAGAUCUGUUGCAUGCAAAAUUGGUGCAGAAAAGGCAAUGAAAUUUUGAAGCCAUUAGAUGGCAUACACUGAAUUUAAAAUGUCAUGCAUAUAAAAAAAAUCUAAUGUUGUAUGCACGCCUUUUCUUGCAUGUGAUAUGAAAGAAUAUAGCUCACUACAGCUAACUAUGAAAUCCAAUUGUGAUCCCCUAUUAUUUUCCAAACCAGAAAAAAGUAACUACUCUACCAUUUACAGAACAAAAGAAAAAUUGCAAACCAAACAGAUCCUGACUUUCCAAUCAGACCUUAUUGAAAUGCUCGUACUGUCUGUUCCCUAGACCGAAAACAGCAAAGUCGAGGUGUUGAAGCCAAGGCUCCUUCUCUUUUCCCUGCAAGUAACCAACAAUCAGAUAUAGUUCUCUAAAGUGUUGGCAGUGGAGAAACUUAACGCAUAUGAUUAGAAAAACAAAAAAGGAAAAUAAAUUUCUUUCAACUUACUUCACUAAACCAUUUAUAAAACCUUGCAGCAUUAUCGGUAGGUUCGCCGUCUCCAUAUCUACACAUUUACAAAACAAGUAACCAAAUUUGAGUAACUUACACAUAAAACGACAAUAGUGAAUCAAACAUUGAACUAUAAGAUUCUUUCAACUAAUUCUCACUUACGUUGCCACAAAGAAAAGUGCUAAACUUUCUUUCUUCAAUUUCUCUUCAUACUCAUCAUCAUCUUGUGCAUAAUCAUCCUACACCACAUAAAUAGUGCAAUCAAUCUCACUUACAAUCAAAAUUCACUAAUUUCUCAAAUCUAACUCAUCAAAGUAUAAAUAAUUACCAGAUCAAUUAUCUUGAAGUUCGCUUUCUCAUAUCUAGCUUUUGCUUCCUCUGCAAGUGCCUGAAUUCAUAAUAACAAACUCAAUAAAUUAAUAAUUCCAAUCCACUCAACACUAAAACGAUCAAAUUAUUACUAACCUUUGCAAAACCUUCAGCAGUACCAGUUUGAGUACCAAAGAAGAUAGUAACCUUCUUCUUACCAUCAUCAACUUCAAUUUCUUCUUUUUUCACAGUCAAUGGUUUUAUAGGUUCAAUAGUUUUAAUAGAUUUCUGUCCUCCUGAUGAAAAUCUUCUCCAUACAAAAAGAAAUACACAACCAAUCAAAACAGCAAUCGAAGUAGUUAAAAUCAUUAAAACUUCUCGAUUUUCAACUAAAAUCGAUAUAUCCAAUGGAUCAGAUUUUCCAUUAAGUAUAGCUGACAUAAGAUCAAUCGCAGAUAUCUUCACUGCUUCUGAUUGCAUUUUCAAACUCAAUUCAACAAUCAACAAAUUCAAGUUCAAAUCAAUCUAACUCUACUGAAUUGAAUGAUCGUCAACAACAAGAAGAAAGAAGAACAAGAAGAAGAAGAAGAAAGAAAGAUCGUUUAGUUGAGUUUCUUUUCUCUCUCUCUCUCUCUCUUUUAAAGUAGCAAUAAGUUAGUGAGAAGAGAGAGAGAAAUACAUAUGAAUGUGAGGAGAGGAAAGAAGAACGUGGUGAGAUGAGUGAGAGGGAGAAGGAUUGAAGGAAGGGAGAGAGGGAUUUAUUUUUGCAGCUCAACCGAAUACAACGCCUACCAAACUCGACUGGUCAAUACACCUACCACAAUUAACUUAACCAUGAUUAAGAGUUUAUGUCUUUGGUUGUUUAGUGAUAUUUUUAAAUUACUAAAUUACCCUCACUUUUUUUCAAGUCAAAACUUUCUGACGUAAUUUGUUCCUCUACUGUUAAUAUUCAAAGAAUGCUGAGUUUGUUUGACAUAGAACAAGGCAUGCGUGUGGCACUCACUAAUUAUGUAUUCUCUGGUCUAAAUGUAUGUUUGAAGUUUGAACAGGUUUGAGGUUUCUCUUCUCUUUUUUGUUUGGUUUCUUUUAGUAUUAUUUUUAGGACAACAUGGUUACUUCAUCUUGUUUCUUUCUUUCCCAAAACUCUGCUGCAUGAUUCUGUAGAUUUUUAGUUGAUACCUGGAAUUUUCUUUUAUCAUCAACAAGUUCUCAAGAUGAAAACUGUGAGCAUUAUUUUCAAGUAAUAUGUAUAUAUGAUUCAUAACGGAGAAAUGUCAUUGUUAGAAAUUGUAGAAAAACAUUGCAAAAAUACUAUAUGUGAAACCAUUUGGGCUAUGGUACUCUAAAAUGAUAUGUGUCAAGAGUAAUUCAUAUUAUCGCAGUUUAUUUGAAGCUCUUUAUAUUACUGGUCAUAUUGUUGCAUUCCAUAAUGAGUAGGGGUCUGAAUGGUAAAGAAAAGAAAAAACAGCUCAAAUACAGUGUGUUUUUUUUGUUUUCAGAAACCCAUAAUUGAAUAAAUAACUAUUAGUAUGAAGGGAAUUUUGGUAAUGCCAACUCACAUGAAGCAAAAACAAAUACUUGCUUCAAGCUAAACAUAGAUAGUCGGCUUUCUGCUCAUUUUCCAAAGAUAUUUGAAUUAAUCCAUAUCAAACUUAGAUACAAAACUGAGAUAUAUAAGACAGCCUUACAGUCAGAAAUAAAAAUCUAAUGGAAAAAAAGACACUGGAAAUUUUUGGUUCAUAGUACACUGAUACUCAUAUGUAAGAAGAGCAUUUCCAAUGGUUACUGAUGGUCUACAGUCUACACAACUAUAUACAGCAGAACCUCUUUAAAUUAAUAGUUUUGGGACCUAUGUAAUUUUUUUUAACUUAGAUUAUUAACUUAUCAAGUGUUCAUUUAGCUACUUACCGUGUAUAUACUUAGAGAGUAUAUUAAUGAAUCAAAUAUUAAUUUAAUAAAAAGGUUCUACAGUAUCUACUUCAUAAAUCAUGAUGCAUGUGCAGAGAGCAACAAGAUAUCAACCCUUCACAAGCUUCAGUGUUGGGUCAGAACUCAGUAGCGGCUCGCAAUAAAACCCCAGUGCCAAUUAUUGCCUCAUUGGUCAUUUCUUCUAGACCCCAAUAGAAAAUAUUGUGGGCUCCCAACAGAUAUGAUUCUAACCAGUAAUAAUUCUGCAUGUAACUCGUGUGGAAAAUAUUUCGCCUCUUCUCGAUCUGCUUCUCAAAAUAAAAAAAAAUAUAUAGAUAUUACUUUGAUAACAUCAUGAUUCAUGAUUGAUCGUAAAAUCCAAAUCAAUUUAUUUGGGAUUUUGGGUGGUUGAUCAAUGAUCAUGAAGAAAAAAAAAAUAAUAUAAUUACUGAUUACAGAUUGAGCAUAAUACAGUUUACCAUCUAGAUACAUUAUGGCACCAGCAUUAUGUUCUACUAAUAAAUGGCAAGAAGAAAAUGAUCAUGGAUUCAUGGUUCAGGAAAAAGGUGCAGAAGAUUGUUGUAAACAGAAAAACAUUUCAUGUUUUCUACUACAGUAUUAAUCCAUGAGCAAUGGAUGACAAAUACUCAAAUAAGCAAUAAUACAUGAUCACAAAUUAAAUGCACAAACACCCAACUUCAACAUCACUACUUCAUGGGGAAUUCAGUGAUUGGUGGAAAAUGAUGUGUGUGACGUAGUAAACCCUGGACCUCAAGGUUUUGUGGAGAGUAGAUUGUCUAUUUUUAGACGUUUUAAAUGCACAAACACCCAACUUUAAUAGACGUUUUAAAUACCUACCUACCCAUAAAUCAAAAAUAAAGUGAAAACAAUAUACAGUAUUGUACCUGUAUAUAUGUAGUAUUAAGUUGUGAAUUUUGUCUUCAUAAAAUAAAUUUUUAAUAUUAUUGUUUUGUUUAUAUUGUAUGUAUAUACCCAUUACCGAAUUCUGCUACUCGGAAUGCCAAACACCGACUUCGCACUUGUUUCACCCGACCUCGUAUCUAGUCACACUUCACUCAUCUCCACUCAAUCAUAAUCCCACUAACUCGGUAUACAAAACACCGACUUAAUGCUUAUUUCAUCCGACUUCGUAUAAAACCACAUUUCCUUCACUUCUGUUCAAAUCAUAAUCUCAUAAAAUAUCCGAGCACAUCCGACUUGGGGCUAACUCACUCUGAACACCGAGUUCGACACAUUCAAACUCCAAAUCAUACGACAGUUACGAAUCUAUCUCAUUGAAUCCCUGAAUAUCCGCAUACUUUAUGAUUCGAACGUUGAGUCAUUAUUUGAUCCACAACCUAAGCCACCUAUAAAAGGAACUACGUUUGGCAUGAUUCUGGAUCGACCCCUUCCAGAUACGUAGGCAGCUAUCAUCGCUCAGAUAGUUCAGCCACUCUUCUUCACUCAAACCUUCCCUUUUUCCGAUCAUCUUCCCCAACUUUCCGGUAUCAAAUUUACACCACAUUUACAUUGGCGCCGACUGACUGUGAACGAAUCAUAACCUGACGAAGACCAUGGCCGGAAUCACACAAGAGCAAUUUGAGACAUUCCAACGACAACUCAAUGAACAACAGGAGCAGAUCAACAAAUUACUAUCUGAAAACGCUCAAUUGAAAAGCUCCACCAUCCCUCCGGCAGCUGGCCAAGCAACUGAUGAAAUUAACACCAACAACCCCAUCGUCAUACCCACUUCCAGCAACACCACCGCCCCUACCAUGGCUGAAAUGCAAGAAACUCAUAACCGCCUCCUGCAACUUUCUGGUAAGGCCAACACUGCCCAAAAGGUGGCCAACACCACUUUAGAAAAAUAUAGGACAGAGCCCUUACACGAUGACCUCCUUCAUCAGGAACCACCCCCACACUUCAUCCCCCCUAAGUUCACAGCCUAUGAUGGAAGUGGUGACCCCAUGGACCACGUCCUACAAUUCAAAACCAGCAUGGCACUGUGGCCCAAGUACAAGGACAUCUUCUGCAGACUCUUUUCUGCCUCACUCCGAGGUAGUGCUAUCGACUGGUACCACCGACUUCCAGAACGCUCAAUCACGUCGUACGACCAGCUCGAGGCACUCUUUGUCACCCAAUAUAUCCACAACAAGCGGCGAAAAAUUGAGGUAACUGCAUUAUUCCGACUUAAACAGGGUGACACCGAAACAACCAAAAAGUUCAUGGCUCGCUUUAAAAAGGAGUGCCUCAAGGCAGAUAGCCCAGAUGAGAACGCAUGCCUGUUAGCGUUUAUCUCGGCCGUUCACCCCGAAACCGCUUUGGGGAAAAAUAUCAUCUUAGACGCACCACAGACACUGAAGGACCUGUAUAUCCGUGCUGAUAAGUACAUUAAACUUGAAGAGGCAUUGGCAAAAACAAGAGAACAUGUCUCUGCCGUACAGACAGUCGAGUCCAAAAAUCCUGAGCCGAAAACAACAACAGGUACCUCCCGAGGAAAGCAAUCUAACAGCUCGGUGAAACACAGGUUUCCUAACCCGUUCAAAUGUUCAUAUACGCAACUAUAUGAACUAAUCAAAGAAGAAGAUUACUUCAAGCCAACAAUUCAUGAGCUUGAACCCAUUGAGGAAAACCCGUACUGCAAGUUGCAUAAAUAUCGACAUCAUGCAACAGAAGACUGUCGGUAUCUCCGAACUUAUUGCCACAAGCUCAGGAUGGAUGGACACUUGAAUGAUUUCUUGGCAGAGGAGUCUGAUGACCUCCGCCAGAAGAUUAAUGAUAAGCGCAAGAGAACAGACAACGCCUCUAAGGCAAAAGGAACAAUAAAUAUGAUCAUGGAUACUCGUCCACCUGAAUGGACAUCCCGAGCUAAGCGACAGAAGGUGAAUCAUAUUCACCACAUAUUUCAGCUCACUCAUCAGGCAAUAAUAGCCAAGCAGGUGCAAGGAAAGAAUGCACUGAUCUUUUCUGACCACGACUUGAAGAAGGUAUGCUUGCCACACAAUGAUGCACUAGUUGUCCAUAUCCGACUUGGUGGAUGGACCACUAAGAGAGUGUUGAUAGACCCAGGAAGCUCUUGUGACGUAUUGUUUAACAAAGCUUUCGCUCAGAUGCUUAUGCCCGACUCGGUCCUGCAGACCCCCAAUGUCACUCUCUUCGCUUUCAACUCGACAGAGACAACGACAAAAGGUCAGCUUACCCUCCCUGUCGCUACAGGAGCGAAUGAGGAUGAGGUUACAGUUGAAUGCCUCUUUUAUGUCCUCGAUGUCCCGACGCAGUUCAACGCUAUACUGGGUCGGAAAUGGAUUCACAAAAUGAGAGCCGUUCCAUCUACAUACCACCAGGUCAUCAAAUUCCCUGGACCUAAUGGUAUAAUGGAACUCCGGGGUGACCAAAUUGAGGCACAUGGCUGCCAUGCCAUUCCUGAGGUCAUACCCCUCCCCAACAAGGAAGCAAAGAAGGUGACAGUCGUUAGCUCUGAAAAGCUCACUGUCAACCAGAUUUCUGAGGCCACUGACGGCAAGGCCAUUACUGAGCCAAAUUCUGAAGCCCCUGACGGCAUGGCCACUACUGAGCCGAUCUCUGAAGCCCCUGACGGCAAGGUCGGUACUGAGCCAAUUUCUGAAGCCCCUGACGGCAAGGCCAUUUCUGAGCCACUCACUGAUGCCACUGAAGGCAAGCUUGUCACCGACUCCCCAACCAUCGAGAAGGGUGAGCCAGUCAACAUAGGCACGGAAGCCGAACCUAGAGUUGUAUAUGUAGGAGCUAAUCUAGAUCCUAUUGUAAAAAAGCAACUCGUUGCAACUUUGAAAAUGAAUAAGAAUAUUUUUGUUUGGUCGUAUAUUGACAUGCCUGGAAUAGAUGUUAAUAUUGCAUGCCAUAAACUUCAUGUCGAUCCAACAAAAAAACCAGUAAAACAGAAGGCACGGAAAUUGGCCCCCCACUUAGCUAAGGCGGUCAAUACCGAGGUCCAGAAACUAAUUGACGUUAAAUUCAUACGAGAAGUCAAAUAUCCUGACUGGCUCUCGAACAUAGUAGCCGUCGUGAAACCAAACGGCAAAAUUCGAGUAUGCAUAGACUUCACAGAUCUAAAUAAGGCAUGCCCAAAGGACAGCUUUCCACUACCAAGGAUAAACCAACUAGUGGACGCUACUGCUGACCACGAGCUCCUCUCGAUGAUGGACGGCUACUCAGGGUAUAAUCAAAUUAAGCUCGCAGAAGAAGAUCAGGAAAAAACAGCAUUCAUCACGGAAAGAGGUACCUAUUGCUAUACGGUCAUGCCCUUUGGUCUACGCAAUGUCGGGGCUACAUAUCAACGACUUGCGACACGAAUGUUCGAGGAUAUGAUAGGUGACACCGUGGAGGUAUACGUAGAUGAUAUGAUAGUUAAAAGUAAACUCAAAUCAUCUCACAUAUCCGACCUGGAGAAGACUUUCAAAAGGCUCCAUGACUUCAACAUGAAGCUAAACCCACAAAAAUGCCUAUUUGGAGUAGCAUCAGGCAAAUUUUUGGGUUAUCUCAUUACGCAACGAAGAAGCAAGUCCAAAAGUUAAACGGAAUGUUAGCCGCACUAAACAGGUUCAUUGCUCGUGCAUCCGACAAACAGAGACCAUUGUUACAACUACUCAAGAAAGGCUCCAAAUACGAGUGGACGAUAGAAUGCCAACAGGCAUUCGACGAGCUGAAACUUUACUUGGAAGUUAUAUGUAGACGGAUCCAAAAAUAAUAACGGAGUCGAGAUAGGUGUGACACUCAUAUCCCCCGAGAAUGUAACAAUCGAGAAGUCAAUACGGCUGAACUUCACCUCUUCGAAUAACGAUGCGGAAUACGAGGCCCUGGUAAUGGGCUUACGUAUGGCAAAGGACAUUAACUUGCAAAAAAUCAAGAUCUACAGUGAUUCUCAAUUAGUGGUAAGUCAAUUACUUGGGGAUUAUGAAACAAGAGAAGAAACACUUAAGUUGUAUCUCCAAUACACGAAGUGCUUGCUAAGCAGUUUUAAGAAAUGGGAAAUCCAACAUAUUCCCCGGGACGAAAACCGCCACAAAGAUAGUCUCGCCUACCUGGCAUCCCAAGUCGACACGGAAACAGCCAGGGAAAUACAGGUCGAAAUAAGAAACACUCCAGCAUACGAAGAUAAAUCCCAUCACGUCAAUACAAUCUCAGACUUCAUUGACAUAUCUAAACAUCCGACUUAAUUUUCAUUUACCCUAAAACCAGUCGCCUGUCUUCAGCCCAAAUGAAAAGGGGCUAUGUAUAUACCCAUUACCGAGUUCUGCUACUCGGAAUGCCAAACACCGACUUCGCACUUGUUUCACCCGACCUCGUAUCUAGUGACACUUCACUCAUCUCCACUCAAUCAUAAUCCCACUAACUCGGUAUACAAAACACCGACUUAAUGCUUAUUUCAUCCGACUUCGUACAAAACCACAUUUCCUUCACUUCUGUUCAAAUCAUAAUCUCAUAAAAUAUCCGAGCACAUCCGACUUGCGGCUAACUCACUCUGAACACCGAGUUCGACACAUUCAAACUCCAAAUCAUACGACAGUUAUGAAUCUAUCUCAUUGAAUCCCUGAAUAUCCGCAUACUUUAUGAUUCGAACGUUGAGUCAUUAUUUGAUCCACAACCUAAGCCACCUAUAAAAGGAACUACGUUUGGCUUGAUUCUGGAUCGACCCCUUCCAGAUACGUAGGCAGCUAUCAUCGCUCAGAUAGUUCAGCCACUCUUCUUCACUUAAACCUUCCCUUUUUCCGAUCAUCUUCCCCAACUUUCCGGUAUCAAAUUUACACCACAUUUACAUUGUUAUUGGUAAAAAAAAAUGAAAAAUUCAUUCACACUUUCAUAGAUAAUUUUGGCACUGACAAAUUCGAUCGGCAUUCUUUUUAUUAAUGAACUAGGAAGCUAGAUAUUUUGGUUUGUGAUUACCAUUGAACUCUUGAUUGAUUAUCAAACGUUGUAUUAUUGUAUACCCUUCUGGCCUUCUUGAUCAGUUCUUCUUCAGUUAUAUUUUAAGUUUGCUUACUGAGCUUGUUUCAUCAGGAGUAGUUCAGGACUGUGGCCAGUAGAUGGAAGGCAUGCAUGAUGCAUUAUGGCUUCUUGUAUGGUUUUCUUACUCCUGGUGUCAAGUGAAGGCUAGUUUAUUCUGCGGAUAUAUCCUCAAUAGCCUAAUCCCUCAGGAUUGCAUGGUAUAUUGGCAUCAAUUCUAUAGCCAUAGUUGGGUAGAGAAUCAUGGCAUGAUAUAUCAGUCUUGUAAUCAUGGCAUCAAUCCCAUUAAAGUAAUUUAUUAUUGCUUUAUACAGUAGUUCAAUAAUUAGGUCUUGAAUUAUUGAAGUGUUGAAGUUGAUUCCAACACUGAAAUUUUGGUCAAAACAUGAUGUGUGGAGCUUCAAUUAUGUAUUGCCCAUGAAAAAAAAGUGCAAUUCCAGUUCCAACUAGUCUAAGAUAAUACAUGCACCUGAUGGGCAGCCACAAGAUACCCAAUAUUUUAGACAAUUACAAUAAUACAUUGCCAUCAGCCCCUGCCCAUUACCAUUUCUUUGGCCAUUACUGACCUUCAACUUUGCAGUCCAUUUUGAUCAUAAUAUUCAUCAAAGUUCUCCAUGUUAUAGUGACAUUUUUUUUUAUAUAUUUAAUAGAACAAUAUAAAGCAUUGAAAAUGAGUGUCAUAAAAAUAAUAUUUUGCCUUUUAAUAUGAGGUUGACAUUUAUUUUUUUGUUUUCCAUAAAUAAUAUUUUGAAAAUUGAAAAUCUAACUACAGUACUACACAGUCGAAAAAUCAAAUACUGUAGCAAUAAUUUUUAAACAUGGGUUGACUUGAUCAUGAACUAGUACGAGUACAAGUAUUUUUGUGGAAUCGGGAAGCAAUGUUUAUAUAAGUCGUACCUUAGAAAAGAUUCAACACCCAGCUUGGUCAGAUAAAUAAUAAGUGUAUGUUAGCCUUGAAUUUGACUUUUUAUUGUGGUCAUAUUUGAUUGGGAAAUGUGAAUUAUAUCAUGGAAUUGGUCAUUCCAGACUUGCAGUCAACCAGAAUGCAGAAACAAAUCACUAAAUAUUUGAAUAAUUUGAUUACUGAACCAUUUAAUAGGCCUACUGUCCACCUAUUGUGGGCAACUUGUUUGGACUUUGGACAUCAAACUGAACCAUGCAAGCAUCAAUGAAUGAAAGUAGUGUGAAUAAUGUCGAGAACAGCUUUGAGAAACAUAUGCAACACAACUGCAAUUGAUGGUGGACAUCCCCAAUUCUUCAUAUCCCCACCACACCAAGUCCCAACCAACAAACAUAACAAAAUUUCCUAUUUUAAUGAUAUAGAUUCACCUUUGAUUGGCUGGAGCCUGGGGGAUUUCUAAUGAGUUUGUAGAAGUCUCUAGAUCUUGUGCUCCCUGUUUUAAUCAAGAGAAAACAGACCACAGAAUCACAUUGUCCACUUCCAGGUGCUCAACAAAAUCAUACUACUUGGAGAUUUAUAAGCUUGCAGAUUUAUAAGCCUGUACAUUGGUAGAUAUCAAGCAGACCACAGAAGAGGUAAAUCCUCUAUACAAAUUUCCUACAAAAUACUGCUAUCCAUGACAGGCAGCAAGCCAGCAAUCUCCCAUUGUUGGUGCUGUCAAUAGAAGAGUUGGUGGGGGAUAUGGUCAUCAGAGAUUUCUUCUACUCAAAAAUACCAGGAUAACUUUAUUUGGUAAAAAAACACAUGCUCAGAUGUUCAAAUACUGUCAUCAAAAUUUCCGAACAAACAACCAAUAAUAUAUGUAAGAACAAACAGAAGACAAAGCCGGUUGUCUGCGGGACAACUGAUAAAGCUAUAAAACUUCUAUGCCUUGACUCGUCCAUAGAACUUAGACUUCUCAUCAGUUGUCUGGAAUCGCCCAUGACCAAACUUGGAGGAGGUGUCUAUGAAUUUUAAUUUGAUUUCUUCCAUGGCAAGCCUUGAGGUCUGCUUCAAAAGUGACUGCCUUAGAGUCACAACACGCUUCUUUGGUCCUACACAGCAGCCCUUUAUCAUCAAGAAAUCUUCCUUAACAAUCCCGUAGUGGGGAAAUCCUCCCAUGGGUGUAAUGUCCUUCUCAGUCCUGUAUACAGAAUACAGAUUUAUAUUAAGUUCGCAUUUUUACUCUAUACUGCAUACAGUUUUUGUUAAAAUGGAUAGAACAAACAUUCAAAUUGCCUCACCUGUCGUACUCAGUGACCGCAGUAUGAGACUCCUGAGCAGCCUUCCCCAGCUUGUAAACCUUCUUAUUCAUCUCUGUACGAUGGUGGUACCCAUUCUGCCCUGCCCUUGCUACAGUGAAUGAAACCCUAGCUGGAUGCCAAGCACCAAUGCACGCCACCUUCCGCAAACCCCUAUGGGUCUUCCGGGGUAGACGAGUAACACCCCAUCGAGUCACCACACCCUCGUAGCCUUUACCCUUGGUUACCCCAAUGAUAUCAAUCAUCUCAUCCUUCUGAAAUACAGCAUCAACAGGGAUGUUCAUCUCAAAGAAACUAUAGGCAAAGUCAACCUUAGCAGCAGUAUCUCCACCAUUCACUUGGAUCUCCAUCAGAUGUGCUUUCUUCUGCUUUAAUCCCUUAAUCUUUCCAACCUAAAUACAUCAACAGAAUAUUGUCAGAGUGACAUACAUGAAUGUUAUCAGGACAUUUUGGAAAAAAAAAAACAGAAAAUAAUAUACCUGGGUAUGAGCUAGAACCCGGAUAACAGUACAGUACUUCUUCAUCUUAUCCAACUGAGAAUGGAUAUCCCUCUUUCCCUCCUCAGUAUUGAACUUUUUUGAGUACUUGGUGAAUGCCUUUUUCUUUGACUUGCACCAGUUCUUGUAGAAUCUCCUCUUGAUUUCCUCAUUGAGAUGUUGAGCCCAAACAGUACACAUAGAACGCAGACCACGUGGAGUCUUUAUAUAACCGACAACACCAACAACAAUCAUUGGCGGUGUCUCUAUGAUUGUCACUGCCUCGCAUGCCUCCUUCUUGUGGAGUUCUGCAUGAAAAAUGAACUUGUAAAUACAGCUAGAAAACUAUAACGUACACAUGCAUAACACAACAAUAAUCAAUUCCAACUGCUGUGGUUUCCAUUUUGUACGGAUGAGGAAGACUUACUGGAUCCAGGCUUUUCAACAUCUCUCACAAUAUGAGUCAUCCCAGCCUUGUAUCCGAGAAAAGCAGUUAGUCUACAUGGCUUCACAGGAUCAUCACGUGGAAAAGCCUUCACUGCAUAUGCCAACAAUAAAAGUCAGAAAAAAAAGGCAGCAUUGCCUACCAAAAAAUACCUCUAGCAAACCUACAGUAUGCAUGACAGAAAACCAAAUGAAUGUAAAUCAUUAGUCAUGCACAAAAUGUCCCUGAAACUUCGUUAACAUGUACAUGUGAGGCUACUAAAACAGCAAGAGCAUAAAAAGAUGAGAUGGUAAUAAAUGGUCAAAUUAUUGAAGAAUCUUUUCAUGCACAAAAUUACAGUAUUUCUUUGUCUACAUCUACACUUUUAUUCUCUAUGUAGGUUAGCUAUGAGUUGCCAAUCUAACACAUGUCUUAUUAUUUUCACUUCAAUUCCUUUCUUUGGUUUUUUUAAUGUUCAUAUUGACAUAAAAGGAAUAGAAAGUAAAAAUAGAGCUUUUAAAACUAUAGGAGUGUUACUUACAAAGUACUCAGAUGUACAGAAACACUUUUGGGACUGUUACUUACCAACUAGCAGGCAAUUUUACUGAAGCUUAUAAAAGUUACUUUCAUUGUUGAGAGAAGAAUUCCAAGAAAUAAAUGUCAUCUAAACGAAAACCAGAUGAAUGUUGUCAACUAAGUGCUCUAAAGCCUAAAUAGUACAAAGGAAACACACACAACACAACAAAAUACACAUCACAUCCAUGCAUGUGCAUCUAGUGCUUUUUAUGAGCAAAAUAUUUUCACAUUAAAAUUCUUUCUUUAACAUUGUGUAGCAAUUGACUUGAAAAGAAUUGGAAACAGUGAUAAAAUAAGGCAGAUAAAACUUCAGAACAGUGAAAGACAAAAUUCACAUAAGAACAAGACAAAAAACAAGAAAUGGAACACAAAGAAGCUGAUUUUAGAUAUUCAUACCAUACACUCAACAAUGAUCUACCAACAGAACAUUAUAUACAAGUACUCCAUUCUACUAUCAAUUUUCAGAAAAGAACAAUAUAAACCAAGUAAUUUGUUAGAGCUCAAGGAAUAUAAACCUUUUCCUCUGUGGCGGGAGGCUCUCUUUCUCGGAAGAAACCCCAGUGAGCCAUGCCUUGGGUGCUCAAACUUGCGAUGAGACAUGCUUCUUUGUUCUUAUACUCUCUCUGCAAAACUUGUGUCAUUACUACUUGGGACUUAAAAUUAAUUUUUACACGGCAAGAAAUACAGGUAAUACAAAAUUUAUUUGUACUAAAAUGUGUAAAAUUCUUUUCUAGAAAAUCGAAAGAAGAUUGAUUAUGUACAUUACAAUAUCAUAAUCAGGGAAUAUCAAAAGACGAUUGAUUGAGUGAGUAAAAGGGGAUAUUAUCUUGAUCAGGGAAGACACAAUAUCAUCACAUGGUCUAAUACUACCAACAUCCAUUCAACAUACAAGCCAACAGAAGAUCUUUUAAGCAGAUAAUAGCAAUUUUGGUGCAAAUUUGACACACAUAAAUUGUACAGUAAAACCAUUCAACCCAUAUAUAGGUGUGAACAAUAACAGUGUAUUACUCAAGGUACUACAAAAGAAAAACACUUCAAAAACCAUAGCAAGAUCCAGAAGUUUCCAUUACACAGCCUGUUCAUUUAUGUAUCAUCUAUUCACUAACAUCACCUACCAUCUAUCAUCAAGCGUCAUAAAAUCAGUCAAAUCCUCGGGAUUAUAAUAAAAAAAGUAGAUGUAGACCUCAACAUUAACACCACUGUCAAUGGCUCAAAGAUUUUAAGUAGCAUAUAGACUUUAGACACAAAAGCUUAAAUUCAAUACUACAUUGAGAAUUAAAUUAACAUCAAUCAGGUCCAUCUGAAGAAGCAGAACAGGUAAAAAAAAAAAAAAUGCAGCAGAAAAGUUAAAGUUGGAAAACAAUAAAUACUUCAUUACACAAGUAAUUUCUCAUUUCACACAGUGCUUUAUAUAAUAUUGGUCCUAUGUGUAAAACCUAAUUACUUAGUAGCUUUCAUCAAAUCCUAAUACAAUUUUAAGUGUGACUUACUUAAACCCAACAUUUUCACCAUACAUUUCCUUCAAUACAGAUUACAUAUUUAUAUACUCACAAGAUCAACUACACGACUCUAAAAUAUGCAAACAAGUCAGAGUUUCUGUUGGUUAAACCAAAACUUUCAUUUUUCACAUAACCAAUACAAGUAUACAACACUAACAUUAUCAAAGAACAUAUUCAUUUACACAAGAUAAACCACAGAAAGUCCAUCACCAUGAUAAAUACACAAAACAACAAAUAUAACAUCCGUUGGUGAUAAAUAUAACCCACAUUUCUAAAGCUAGUAAUUACCAUUGUAAUUGAUUGCAGUGCUUGUAAAACAGAAUCUGAUAUAAACACAAGUUAAAAACUAAGACAUUUUGCUACAAUCAAACAUUCUAAACUAUUCUCAUCAAGUAAUUAAAACAAAUGUUUAUUUGAAAAAACAAAUUAAAAAAAAAAAAAAAUGUCAUUAGAUCUAACUCCUUGAAAGAGAUAAUUAGAAAUGCUUGAAAAACCAAAGGCCUACGACAUUAGAACAUGUCGAUUCUCUGACUCCAUUCUAUUUCAUACCAAAACAUCCAUUAAAAUAAUGGAUUAUGGUAAAAGAGUCCUUUUGAGAUUCCAGCCUUGAUUAAUAAUAAAUUUUAUCCAAGCAAUUUCCAAUUAUCAACUAAUGAAGCUACAUCUGAUCACAUCACUUACAUAUAUUCUCAAACGAUUCAUAGAAACAACAACAAUUCAAGACAAGACAAACACAAUGAUCAUACCUGAAACCCUAAUUGAGUCGCCUCCCUCUCUCUCUCUCUCUCUCUCUCUCUCUCUCUCUCUCUUGCUUUCUUUUAGUGAGUUGAGAUGAUAUGAGCUUUGUGUUCCUUAUAAAGGAGAUUCAAUGGUUUAGAUUGAUUUGAACAAGUGAUAAGAAUCGUUCGAUGUACAAUCUUUCUUUACAAACCCUAAUGCUGGUACAGCCCAUUGGAUCUGUUUUCCUUGAAUUGCUUGGGCUGAAUUUGAAGUACAAUGUCGCUAGUUCAGAGUAUUUGGGCCCAUUUAUUGAUUUACACACUUGUCACUCCUCACUCGUGUGCUAUAUAUAAUAAAAGCAAAGCGUGAUCAUCAAAAUGAUUUUUUUGAUAUAGCGUGAUCAUCAAAAUGAUGAGCAGCUGAUUGAUAAAAUAGCUGCUUCAACCAGAGUUUGGAAUGAUUUACCAAGAAACGAUAGAUAUAUACAAAAUUUCGUCAAAUAUUUGUGAAUAUCCAACAAUAUUUUAGUUAUUGGUUUCAACAUUUUUAAGCCAGACAUAUCACCUGAGCACCAUUAUUUACGACAAUGUCGUCAAAAAUUAAAAAGAAAUAGGUUGCUAAUUUAUCACUCAAAUUAUCCAUCAACAAGAGCAAUCUCUUGGGAAAGUUGGACAUUUUUUUUUUCACCUUUUAUCAAGUGGAGCUGGAGCUUCUCAGAGCAUUCCCAAUGCAAGGUGGAUUUUGGGGGUGGGGUGGAUAAAUCCACUUUGAAACCUAAAACAAUGUCCCAAGGGGAGGUGGAUUUUGAAAAGUGGCUGCCCACAGGUGGAUUUGAAGGUGGGAGAAUCCACCUUGAAAUCCACCUGUGGGUGGUAGAAUCGGACGGCUUUUUUUAAAGUUUAAGUAGUGUUUUAAAGCUUUUGGACUCUCGGACGGCAUGUGACAUGCAGUCCGGAUUUUUAAAAAAAUCCACUUUCUAUACCAAAGAGUCCACUCUGCGUUGGGAGACUACCACCCAGGUGCAAAUACACCUCUCUCUUUGAGGUGGUUUUGCCUAGGUGGACCUACGUGGCGCCUACGUGGAGGUGGAUUUAUCCACCCUGCAUUGGGAAUGCUCUCAUAUAGUCAUAUUAUCAAGUUGGUGUUCUUUAACUAGUUUCAGCGACUUUCCUUGUUGAAAUAUGAAAACGACAAUGAAAACUUGAUGUGACCAUAAUUGAUAAUUCUGUAUUCACAAAACAAUAGUAACAUUACCAAAAAAAAAAAAAUAGUAAUAUCAGUAUGCUUUGAAAAUACAAUGAGGAAACUUAUAUUAUUGAGAUAUACACAUAGUACGAGGAAUCAACAACAUCAACCAUAAAUAAGUAGAAUAUUUAUUUUUAUUUUAAUCCAACACCACUUGUCCAUCAUAUUAUAGCUUCCAGAAGUUAAAAUGCUUCAACAUAUGCAUUUGAUUAUUUUUUUCCAUUUUUUAACUAAAGAAACAACUCCAGGUUUCCUUGUCAUUCAAUACAAAAGUAGGAAACAGAAGGAUCAUUUCAGUCUUUUGUACCUAAAAGAAAAAAUAAAAGAGAUGCUUUUAAGAUAUAUACCCCUCUCUCAAAACCAAAUGUGAAUCUUCCUCUUUUGUGCAUUAACCUUCAAAGUUAUAGAGCAACCCAGGAAGAAAUGGCUACCACAACAAUAGCAGCAGCUGAGCCCAAAGUCACGUGUGUGGCAGAGGACUUUGAUGGUGCUGGUGCAUCGGCAGCUUGAUCAGCAACAGGUGAAGGGGGAGAAGAUGGUGCAUCAGCAGCUGGUGCAUCAGCAGCAGGUGCAUCAGCAGGUGUAUCAGCAGCUGGUGCAUCAGCAGCUGGUGGAGAAGCCUUGGAAUUCUUAGGAGAAGGAGCCUUCUUUGGGCUUGCGGAAGGAGAGGGUGAUGGUGAUUUCUUUGGUGGAGGAGCAGCAGCGGUUGCAUUCAAGUUCUGAAUGCCAUCAGCAAUAAUAGGUGCGCUGAUUUGCAACACUGAGAUAUUGUAAGGCUGAGCAGCGAUUUUCUUAAUAAGUUUGGAAUUAAGGCUUGCGCCUUUGACUGCAGACCCAAACAUGACAUCUCCGCUUUUCAUUUGAGUAACAUUCAAGAACCCUUGUUGGUUCAUAGCAUCACCAGUGGACUGAAACAAUGUGGUGAGAAGCGAACUCUUCUUUGAGAGCUUGGACAAUUUAGCCUCAUCAUAGUAGUCAAGUACCACAUGAUUACCCAUAAUCCUUUUAAUAACAUCAGUCGAUCCUUGUACACCACCCAUUGCAUCGUUAGCGACAGCGAGGACUGUAAUGGUUUGUCGUUUAUUGAUUUCAUCGCAGAGCUUAGUCUGGGUAAGGUAGUUAUUGAAUGUACUGAAAUCAGGAUAUGUAUCAAGAAUCCUGGUAAUGUUAAAACAGGUUGCUGAAGAGACGAGGAGGAAGAAAGAAAGGCAAAUGAGAGAAGAGGUAGCCAUUGUCUAAGUUUAUUAUAUGGAUUCACCUACCAAAAUGAGUCAAUUAGCAUAAGAGAAGUGAAGGGAUCAUAUAGGGAGACUUGUGUCUAAAUAUGGUCAUUUACUUGGAUGAUAAAAACUAAUUUACCUCAACAGAUGGUGAACCAUCAUUAUAUGUACCAAAUUUGACUAAUUUAUUGAUUGGUUUAAACUAAGAAUAGAAAAAGAGUUGAUAAGGUCCUAAAUUGUUGAUAAUUUGACUGAGUUUUCCUCUUGUCCACACAGGUUGCAACGAUUGUAACAAAAGAAACAGUUUCCAACAUAACCAAAGAAAUAGGUUGCAACAAUUGUAACAAAAGAAACAGGUUACAACAAAGUGCAUUCAGCUCAGAUUUCCAUGAUCAAAAAUCAGAAUAGACAAUUCUCAACAAUAAUAAUCUCCUGGACAUCAAGACCUACAUUCAGGUUACACAAUUUUGGACAAUGCAACUCCAUAACAACAAAAGGAGUAUGAGAAGCCAAGAUUCUAAGUAGUUUGCAUCUGUUUUUAACCUAAUCCUCAAGCUGCUGAUACAGAGGACCAACAACAAAACUUUACAGCAACAAAAACAUGUAACCAAUUCCAGGUUCUAUACCUCAGGCCCAGUUAUCUUCUCAAGAGCGUCUGUUACGACCUUCUCCAUGUCAAGGUCCUUCAUCUGCUGAAAAGGUUUCUUCAUGUCCUGCAAAUGAGCAAACACAACAAUAAUUAGAAUAACAAAAUAUAUACUUAAAAGGGGAGGUUGUGACAGUACACAGUCUAUAAGCAAGAGAGGUAAUCAUUGAUGGUAUUGACUAUCCAGUCAUCUUGGAAUUAGACUUGCUAGUCUAAGAUUUGUGUGCCCAUCACAUGAGAUCUUCAGCAAAUGAUACUAUUGAGACAUCUUGAAUACAGAAUAUGUUAAGAACUAUUAUAUGAUAUAUGCUUGGCAAGUAGAAAUCAACUUUUCUAGAGCGAUUCAGAGUAUAAACAUAAAAUUGUUAAAAGAGUAAGUAAAAGAUGUGUUUUCAUCAGUGCCUUUUUGGGUAAUGAUUUCAGUGUUAAUCCAACUCCUGAUUCCUAAGUGUAUCUCAAUGCUGAUGGCUUUUGAAAGCAAAGUAAAACCUGAAUCAGAAUGUUACUACAGUUUCUCCCAAAUCCCAAAGUAAAUACCAGAGCUGUGAUAAUUGCAAGCAAUUCAGAUAAUUCAAGAAACCGUCCCAAAAUCUGUUGUUGUUCACAAGGAGGAUUGCAUCCAAGAUAAAAAUAAAAGUUUUUCCCUGAUAAUGGAAUUCCACAAGCAUCAACGGGAACUUGAUAUAGUAUGAAGGUUCUCCACGGGUCAAAGUAAUGUACAUAAUCAAACAGGCAGACAUAACAAUUAAACUCUCUCACCACCAAGGAUUACCACACUCUAAUUAUAAUAAGUGCCAAACAAUAAUGACCUCCAAAUUCCAAAAUGUACCUCUAUCUUAAAACAAAAAGAAUGUCUAGUAUUUUUACUGACGGAGUUUCCAGCUUUAGAAGAAACCUCAGAGAAAAUAUACCAACAUAGUUUACCUAACAUAUAAUAUACUUGAAGAAUUUGAAAAAACACAUAAGGAAAAAAUCAAUAAUGUGUCCAGUGGAAUAAUGGUACACUAUCUGAGUGAAUUAUGGCCAUUUUCAAUAUAUAGCCAGGUCCUCUUUCGGUAUAGGUGGUUAUCAAACUUUACCUGCUGAGCCCGCAUGCACUUGCUAUGUUAUUUCACAUAGAAAAGAACCUUCAUGUUAUUCUGAUCUUUACUUGGUUAAAAAUAAGUUUGAUUGACUCUAUUUUUCUUUACCAAAGAUUGUGGGACAUCUAUCUCUGCCAUAAGUCCAUGAUUUCUUCAGUAAUAUAGAUAUGCAAAGCAGCAUUAACGCUAAACCCUAACUGCUGUGAUGUGUCCACUAUAGGAAAAAAGAUAUAAAAAAUAACCUACGAUGAAAAAUCUUCAUUCCUUUGAACUGUAUUAAGGGUAAGCUUGUACGCAAGGAAUUCAAAAUAAAAAAUAAAAAGAAUCCUUGGUGGACACCUAUUAUUUGGUCUGUUCGGAGGCUUAGAAUUGUAAAGAGUAGGAUUAUUAAUGGAAACAAUUCCUUUCCCCUCUGGUAAAAAGACAGAACUGAACCAAGAAAGUCUUUUUCCUUGCUUUCCUUCUCUAGACUUCCAUACAUAGUAAUCCCUGCUUAUUUUGUUCAAGUACAAGCCUUAUCUAUUUUUGUGACACUUUACUAGUCUUUAAAUGCCUUCUUUUAAGUUCUCUGUAGUCGAAGACACUAGUCGUAUCCAUGUCUUUCCUUAAAAUCUUAUGCACUAGUUUUAUCUAUUUUUGUGGAACUAAACUAGUUAAUAUGUCUAUCUUCGAAAUUCUAUACCAAUGCCUAUAGAGAGAAAAAAUAUAUAUAUCCAAUCAAGUUGAUUCCUGUCUAUUGAACUUAAACCGUACAUAAAAAAUUCAGUUCUAUUUAGUUCUAGAGACUAGAACAUUUAAAAUGUGUGAUAUGGAAAAGCAAGAAAAAAGAUAAGAAGAAUAGGAUAUGGUAAAGCAGUUACCAGAAGACUGACGAAUGGUUCUCCACCUUCUCGUACCUCAAAGCAUCCCCUCCUUGGCUGAAAGAUUAUGAAUUGAAAGUUGUUAGUAACAAACAGACCAAGAGGAAAUAAAACCCCUUUCAGGGCAAUAUAAUGGUGAAAACAAGGCGGGGAAAAUAUUAUACUAUGACCAACAGACAGAAUUCAAAACUCAAAGUACAGUCCUAUCACAGUAAUAAAAUAUUAAAAAGGGAAAUGGUUGUAAUAUAGAGAUAAAAAUAUCCCGAGAAUAUCUUCAUUUCAAAGGUAUAUAAAAUACAGAUAAUUUUAUGGAUCAGUGGUAGAUAUGACAAUCUCAUGACAUAAGGAAGGGCCGAGCCUAGGGACUCGGUGAGAGCCAAGGCGCUUCAAGACCCCCAGAGCAAGAGCUUACUCGACAGUCUAGGUGCAUUUUAUUGUAAACAGCAGAGUACAUUUUACUCUAAACAGUAGGAUAUGAUUCAGGCGCGCUUGACUACAUGGACUAAUUGUACCCCAAUCGUGAAGAUAGAUGGACAACUCAUUCAUAUUCUCAUUUUAAUGUGAAUCUUCAAAAUUUGGCAAUGCUUAAGAAAUAUCCAAUACCCAGUCCAAACGCCAGGUCACAGGUGUAAGUUCCAGCGUCCAUCUUUGAUACACCAAUGAUCGCUCACAGUUCCUAAUUCAAACCUAACCAUUCUGAAGAUAGCUUGAAAUCUAUCUUUCAAAAUCAUAUUAUUCAACAAUCUAACCAUCCAGAAUCGAAUUAUAAAGCUGACAUGCAACUAUAUCUAACUAUUUAAACACACCAAUGUUACUAAAAAAAAAAAACUAACAAGCACAAUUUCAACUUCAGUAAAACGCACUAGCAUAUGUAGUUGGAUAGUCAUAUUUUGCUUUCAAUAUGUCAAGUUGUGUGAAUCACACCACUUUACGACUACAUUUUGAGUACUAGUGAGAAACACACGAUUCGCUCAUUCUCUUGUACUACGCCUGUUUUUCCUCUCCUUUUUCUUCUUUUGUCCCCAUAAUUCUAGUAACAAAGCCAUUAAAUAAAAGGACAUCAACAGUUAUAAAUCUAGACUUAUCAUAACAAUGACCACAUGGCGAUAGCAUUAUUAUAUGUCAAACACGAUUAAAAUAUUAAGUUGCAAUUUAGUAAUUUUCGGUAAAUUAAAUGGUAAACAAGGGGGUCCAAAAGGACAAGAUCAACUUAAUGAAGAACCAACUUCAUUGUGAUUAAUUAAACAUACCUUUUCUGGAUUGAGCAAUACUUUGAUACCAGGGAUAGCUUUCUCCAAGGCGUCCUUCACUGCAGUAGCCGUUUCCUUAAAUGUUUUAUUUUGUGUGCUACAGCCAGAAUAAUGCAAAAUCCAAGAUAUAAGUAAUGGACAAAAGGUGUGGUGAAUAAAGCAUUUUACACAAUUCAAUAAAUUAAUAGGAAAACAAAGGUAGAAGACUGAGUUGACCCAAUAAACAAUACUUAUCGAUAGUAAUAGUAAUUUUCUUGUGGAUGGUAUGCAAACAAUAUUUGUUAUAUUUGAUAUUUCUCUUUAUUAUUGCUAGGCUGCUAGCACUAUUACAAGUAUUACUGUAUUAGUAAUAUUUACAACCAUGUAUCCUCUCAUAACAAUUUACUACAGAUGCAAACAAUAUUCAGUAACGUCCCAUAGUCACAUAACAAUUUAGUGAAGAUGUACUAAAAACGACAAUUCCAGUAAACAGAUUGAUGAUAAUGACCAGACUAGGACUUCUUUGGAGUUUACAGUCAUCUGAUAUAUGUUGUUUCUAACAGCAUAUAAGGAAUCACAUAGUUUAACUGAUGAAAUCCGAACAAAAAAUUAAAAAGGAACUUUGAAGAAACAUCAUCGAAAACAUUGAUUUUUCUUAAGCAAGGAAGAGCAACAUUUUAGCACUCAAGAACCUAAAAGAUAAAUUGUCACAAAGAAAAAUCAAAGAAAUCCUUGAAAAUAGCAAUAUAUUAACAUCAAUAACAACAUUCUAUAUUUCUAUCACUCAGACCAUAAACAAGCAGACAUUCAUAGAUUUUCUUGCAAAUACAACUAGAUCCAGUUCUUGAACAAAGAAAAUGCAAGAUUUUAACCAAAACAAAACAUUUAGGUUAACAAACUGAAAUUAGUGCAAAAACACAACAAAUCGGAAAAAGAAAAAGAGAAAAUACUACCAGUGUUCAAUCUCGAUGGUCUUCACAGCAGAGUCACCAUCAGCAGCAGUAGUUAUCUUUGACUCAGUGUCCUCUUCUUCUUCUUCUUCUUCUUCCUCCUUGACAGUGGUGUCUUCAGCAAGAGUUUCAGAACCUUGUUCUUCUUCAGCAUCUACCUUCUGUUUUUUCGAAGCAGUCUCUGAAGAAGAUUUCCUAACUCUCUUCUUCUUUGGAAGAUCUUCUAAAGUCAUGAAACGAGCUGAUUUAGAACUAGCAGCAGCACUUCGAGUUAGUCGAGAUGCGUUUCGAGUAUUCAUCUUUGGUGAUGGUGAACCAGUUGGUUUAUUUUUCGGCGCCAUUGAAAGAACUGCAACACAAACAAGUUAUUUCCAAGUUAAAAUUACACCUAAAAGAUCAAGAAAUUGAAAACUAAACAUCGAUUUAGUGAAAAGAGAUCUUUCUUACCUUCAAGAUGAAUCUCUAAUCGAACAGAAAAAAGCCCUAGAAAUUUCUUGGAGAAGAAGAUGAAGAGAAACAAAGAAAGAAAGGGGAAAAGGAGUGAAAGUGUGAGUGAGAGAGAAAGAGAAAGAGAGAGGGAGUGUGUGUGUUUUCUAGAGUGGUAGCCUGCAGGAUUAUAUGGUGAGUCAGAAAGAAGGUGUGUUCUUUUUUGGUAUAUCCCGCCCAAUUUAUCAAGAAAUUUUGACCAUGCGUUGACCACUCUUGGACUAAACCUUUAUCAGUAUCAUGAAUACAUGAUUAAAAAUCAAUGGUCACUGGGAAUGUGGGAGAUUUCACAAGGUGGAGUAGCAAAUCCACCUUUGCUCUUUCUAGCUCCAAAAUAAGUUUUCCGACUGGGAAUGUGGGAAAAGUCAUCAAGGUGGAGGAACACCUUUGAGGCCACCACCUUAUAAAUGAAUCCGACAAUGUCGUUAAACCCUCGUUAAACCCAAACAAUAGUUAUAAAUUAUAAUAUUAUGGGCUUAUGGCUACUAUUUUUAGUAUUUUUACGACCUAAUUAAACAAAAUUUGAAUAUUUAAGUUUCAAUUAUACAAAAUACCCUUUCUCUUUAAAAAAAAAAAUAUCAUCUCUAUCGAAUCUUUCAAUUUUAAGAAAACACAAACUGAGUCAGAUUUCUAAAGUUUUUUCCAUUUUUCUCUAUACGAGAGGUUUUGUUUAAAAAUGAAUACAUUUUAUAGUGAAACUUAGUAAUUCUUUAUAACUUCGGAGGGAUAAUGCACAAUUUCAAAUGCUUAAGAAUAUGGCUUUUAAUGUUCAUAUAAUAAUGUAAUUGCUUGUUCUGAAACAUAAAGUAAGAAAAGAAAUAUAUGUGAAUUAGAUUUCAAAAGAUUUUUGUAUCUCGAAUGCAAUAACCACCAUCAGAAGCCCAAAAUCUACCUUAUCAUUAGAAGAAGCCCAAUUCUCUUUAAGACUUCUAGAAGAUUUUCUGAAUUUGACGGUGGAAUUUGAAGAUAAAUACAACAAAAAAACUCACAUAGUUGUGCAAUUUUCCCCAAGUUCAUCUAAAACCAUAUUAACUUUUUCAUAUUUUUCCGUUAUUUUAAUUAAAUACCUCAAAUCAAUAUUUAUGAGGUUAACAUUGGCACGGUUAUGACAUUAAUGUCGAUCAUGGAAGCUAAACAAAGAUUUAAGUUAAAAAAUAUUUUACCAACCACAAACAUAUAAAACAAAAGGUAAAAAUUGUGGAUUCUCAACACAAUUUCAAGAAAGUUCGAAAGAUGUAUAGUUUGAAUUUUGGUUAUUUACAUUAGGUAAUAUAACCAAAAAUUAUAAAAACAAACAAUCCAUUAAAAUGUAUAAGGAAUAUGAUAAACCUCAUAUAUAAACGAUUUUUUAGUUUAACAUCACACCAUUAUAACUGCAUAUAAUAAUAGAAAGUGUCAAAUAACAUGCAAUUUGCAGUAACAAAAUCACUAAUGUGUCGAGGAAUUGUAUACUGAAAAAAUUAUGUUCGUAUAAUUGUGCGAUUGUGAAUAAAAUAAACAUUAUUAAUAGUGUUUCCUAAUUUAUUUUUCAGUGUUUAAUGUUUUUUUUCUUAGUUAUGAAGGCUAAGCAACCUUAAAUUGUUCAAAUGUUGAUGAACCUUUUCAUCUCUUAUAUUGUGAAAAUGAAUCUAUAACUUUGAAGUGAAAACAUGUUGAGCACGACCCUAUUUUAGAAACUUCGAUGUGUAAAUUUUUCAAUUUGAAUUCAUAUACAACGAAACCAUAUACUCAUAGCGAGAAAUAUGUCUGAACUCCUUAAAAGCAAAUAUGUUGAUAAAUAUAAUUGGUAAACUGAAUCCAAUCUUUAACUCAUCUACAACGAGACCACACAUUCGUGGUUAUGAGAGACAGAGGAUGAGCGUUGGCGUAGAGUUGGAUAUAUCAACCUCCCACUGGGAAUGCUCACAGAGUUGUUUUAUUAUAAAACAACAUAGUAAAAUUAAAAAUAUAUUUAUGGCUCUCACAUUUUUUUUUUUUUACUAUCUUCUCAUUUUUUUUCAUCUUUCUCACGUCUCUCUUUAAUUUUGAAACAAUGUUAAAAUCAAAACGUCACUUUUAUGGGUUCUUUCUAGAAAAAAAACCCCUAAAAGUGAGGAAUCAGAUAGAAAGUUAUUCUAAAGAGAAUCGCUAAAGUUUGCCCGAUUUUAUACAAGUAAGAGUUUUCAUACCAUUAAUACAACAUAGCAAGAAUGGAAUUAUAUAUCUACCUUAACUCUUCUAAAGCUAGUAACUCUCUAAGCAUAAAUUAAAAUUUUGAUUAACAACAUAUGUAGUUAAACAAGUCAUUUCGCUCUUAAAUGGGUAGGGGUACGCUCAACCCUAUUUGCCAAUAAAAAAAAGAAGUCAUUUCGCUAUUAGGGUGCAACCCAUUUACGUAUUGUACGUGAAAAUAUAAAUUAAGCUUUGAAGUGGUCCACUUAUGAAUAUCGUAAAAAUACGAAUUUGACCUCUUUAAAUUUUAUAUUAAACUAGAUUAAAUCCAAGAACUGUAUUUUCACUUUUUUUUUGUUCAACUAAAGUUACACGUUUUCAUUCUAUUAUGCAAGAAAAUAUGUGUGCAUAUGGGCUAAUUUGGUGUUGCCACAUAUAUUUUGUGUAUGCAAGAUCCACAUAAUUAUAAUUAUAUGUACAUAAAUGGGUGGUUUUAAUUUUUUAAUUUCUUUAAUAUGUAUGUGUUGUCUGUUGUAAUCUUUGGUCUAAACAUUUCAAAGAAUUGGUUCUCUUUAUCUUGUUUUGGUAUAUAGAGGUAGCAUUUUAUUUUAUUUUAUUUUAUUUUUUUGCGGGUGGGUUUAGGGGGUCUGUGCAGUUUCAUUAGUUUCUAUAAGUAGUGGUGAGAUAAAAAGAAAAUUUGGGAUUCGAGCUUUGUGGAAAUCUUUCCUGCUUUAAUAACGAGAUUGAGUUUCGGUUAUUUUGUAAAAAUGGAAAAAAAUGAAAGAAAUGGAAGAAACAAAAGAUCAUGGGUAUGAUGGCGGCGAUGGGAAGGCCGGAAAAUUUUAUAUGUGUAGCCCACAACCAUGUGGGACUGUGGGACCAAUGCUGUUUCGCCACCUGUUUAAAAUUAUUAGUCAUAGUUAACUACCGUUAGACUGACGUUAGACUAAUUAAUUGGAAAGAAAAUAUUAGUGCUUAAUAUAUGGAAUCGGUUGUUAAGAAAAUAUAUCAUAAAGAUUCCUUAUGAAUAUUUCCCUCUCUUCUUCUUUUUUUUCCCUCCAUAUUCUUAAUCAGUUUUUUUUAUAAACAAAAAAAUUAAUACUAGAAAAAAAAUCUCCAUAGUCUGAAAAAAAAAAAAAACCCAUUUUUGUUAUGAAGUUAAAACUUAGCCAUGCAACAACUAACAAUUCACUUUAGAUAGAAAUAUUCAUAAAACUUCAAAAAGUUUAUAAGUACUUUAAGUAAAGAAGUAGCUACAAGCCCAAAAAUAUGUACUCCUACAAUUCUACAAAGGAUUGUUUUGACUCUCAAGCCACUAAGACAAACAACCAGAACCCAAGCCAAGCAAGUGCAUAGACUCUGCAACACCUCACUACAUAACCCAGUCAUCUAACAUGCACAUCUGCAGCAAAACAGUUCAACAAUUCCAGUUUAAGCAGACUGCAGCAAUCAACCCCUGCAGCGUACAAUAUCAGCAAUCUACAUCACAUAGUUCCAGCAAACUACGUCAACCUUCAACAGCUUCACAGUAACACCAUCACCCCUCUUCACCUGCCUCUGAGUUCUGCUGCCUUGCCUUGAUUGUAACUAGCUGUCAACACCCAUUAACAACCUCUUAGUAACCAUUUAUAUAUCUCAAGACAUUUCAAGACAAGCAUAUUGAAUUAAACUUCUAAGUAAUUUGUUAAAAAAAAGGGUAAUAAGUUAAUAACUACCUUAUAAUAUUUUAGUUGGAAUUGUGUAGUUCAGAGAAGUGGAGUUGCCUUGCAGGAGUUGCCCUUUGAACAAAAUCUGAUCCUUGUUGAGAUAAAAGUUCAACAAAACCCUGUAUAGAUCGAGGAGCUAAAUACAUAAAUAUGCAAACCUUCAAAAUAAUAUCUCCACUUCAAACUUUAAUAAACUACCUGUGAUGAGUAAGUGUAUCGAUUCGAAUACGGUAGCUCUAAAUUGCAUGAAGGGUGACUUUGACUUGUAUUAUAAAAGUGGGAGCUAGAAUGAUCUUGAUUAGCACCAACAUGAAGUUGUGUUCUUUCGCCAAAGUCAGAAGUUUUAUAUGAUGUGUUACUCCCCAAUCCAGUUGAUAUCUAUAAGAUAGUUAUUUUGAAAAAAUAAUUACAUGUAUACAUUAUUUCAUAUAGGUGUUAACUUAUAUUAAAAAAUAGUUAAGAAGUCAAUUACUAAACCUGUGAAACACAAUUAUAGUUGGAUGGUCUUGGAGCAGAAUGGACUUUUAUUAAAUUAUCAACUUCUUUUUCCUGAGCUUUUCUCCCUUUGCUACCUAGAUAAGAAUAAUAGUAUAAACCAUUUCCAAAGUUAAAUACUUAUAAAUAAAAACAUUUAACAUAUAGAAAAAUAAUAUGAACUAAUUUGUAAACCUUAAUUACCUGCAACCUUUUUUUUUGGUUUUGUAGUCUUGGAAUUCCUUUUCAUUUUAUCGUAAAAUGCCCUCUUUCUACCAGGAACUUCUCCUUUGUGAUUUUUACGUGGGGGAGCAAGCAAAGUUAUGUUUGCAUAAGAAUAUUCAGCAACACCUUGUUUAACAAUAGAAGAAGGAUUUUCAUCGUUGACACCAAUAGAAGGGAUAUUAUUAUCUUCAAGAGGACCUGAACUAGCAUCUAAUUCCUCAAGUACUCUUUUCAAUCCACUAAUGGCUACUAGAGUUUGUGCUUCAGUUAUUGCACCUUUUACAACUACCUUCUGAGCCAUUCUUGAUACCUUACUGUAGCGUAGUGAUAAAGCAGGAUUUGUAUCAGCUUUUAAUAUGUUACCACAUGGAUCAAUGAUAAUAUCAGGACUUCCAUUUUUACUCCACCUCACUAACAGAUAGUGAGAAGGCAGUUUUGGAAUAUUUUGAAUUCGCAACACUUUCAAUGCAUGUGAACAAAGUAUACCGGUGAACUCAAAUUUCCUACAUGAACACUUCACCAUGUAAUCUGGAUAUACUAAUUCAACACUACGAGUCCUAGCACCAUUAUAAGAAGAUAUCUCGUAUAUGCACACUCCAUUAUCAUCACUGACUAAUUUUGCAUCCAAAUCAAAAACUGCCUUCACUUCUUCUUGGAAUCGAUUAAACAUUUUCCUGGUAUAGAAUUCUGAUGCUUGGUGCUCUACAGGCCACUUUGACACUAGGAUUGGUGCUGUUGUCUUUGACUUUAAAUCUGCAUUUGCUUCUUUUUGAUGCCGAAGAGAUAUUGCUUUGUCAAAUUGGUCCAUAAAUUCCCGAAGAAUCUGUUUUCUCUUAAAAUACUUUUUGAAAUAAUUGUUCAUGCUUUCACUUCUCUGUGUACUUGCCAUACCAGCACAAAAAUGAGCAUGUGCAUACACUUGUGCCCAUUUCUCACGCAAUUGAAAUAAACUAUCCAGCCAAUCAUCUUCUUCUAACUUGUAUUCUUCAAGUAACCCCUCCCAAUGCGAUAAAAACUCAUUUUCUGUUUCAGCUUCAUAAAUGCACUUCUUAAAAUCCUUGCUAAAUGAUUCAAAUUCACUGAAUACAUGAGAUAAAUUUCUCAAAGCAUUUUGAUAAAUAUGCCAUAUACAAAGCCGAUGAUGUGCUUUAGGCAAUACUAACUUAAUAGCUUUGACUAUUGCAAACGCUUGGUCAGUGAAGAUUGUUUCCAUUUGUUUUCCUCCCAUUACUUUCAAGAAGGUUUUAAACACCCACUCAAAUGUCUCUGUGGUCUCAUCAUUCAACAAGGCACUACCAAAGAUGACGGUUUGCCCAUGAUUAUUCACACCUACAAUAGGUGCAAAUGGCAUAUCAUAAUCAUUUGUCUUGUACGUUGUGUCAAAGCAUACGACGUCACCAAAACACUGAUAAUCCAUUUGUGAUUUAGCAUCACACCAGAAACAAUUCCGAAUCUGAUUAUUAUCAUCCAUUUGAAUUUCAAAAAAAAAGGACUUGUUAUUUUUUUCCUUUUGCUUGAAAUAUUCGUAAAGAAGUUGUCCAUCACCUUUCUUCAAGAACUCGAUCCGUCUUCUUUGCACUAUAUUAUCACAAUCUGAUUGUAGAAUAUUGAUAUUUUCAUAUCCCCCUGAUUCGUUACACAUGUGAUAAUAAAUUUCAGAAGACCCAAUGCCUGCAGAUGCCAUAUUGUAAAUAAGGCCCUUUUGCGCUGGAUGUACAUGCCUAUGUGACCUCAACAUCUUUGCUCUACUUGGAUGUGCAAGUACAUGGUUAUGUUGUUCAACAAACUUUGUAACAACAUAAUCUUUAGAUGUUGUAUCAAGUUCAAUUUUCAACUGAGCUUCACAAUUGAACCUUGAUUGAGCUCGUGGCUUAGUCGGAGUCCCAUCCGGAUGUUUUUCUCGUUCACCUUGACUUGAACAACAAAAUACCCUCCAUAAAAGUGUUUUGUCUUUCUUACUACUGUAUUUCCAGUGUCUUCGAAUACUAAAUCCAAUCGACCUAGCAUAUGCAUUAUAAAACUCAUAUGCUUCAUUCUCUGAUUUAAAUUUCUUGCCAAGUACCUGCUUAGUCGAAGUAGCAUUAUCUCCACCUUGGUUUUGAUCUGAUGGUGUCGUUGAUCGUCCAACUUCUGAAAUAUCUUCUUCACCUUCGAUUCCCAUCUUGAAUAAAAACAUAAAAAUUAGCUAGUAUGAACCCUAUGAACCCACUAUUUUCUAAGCAACUUGGUUUCAAUUAAACAAAUAAGACCUUAUGAACCCGCAAAACUUAAAAUUCUACCCUCUACAAAUAGUAGGAGAUAAAUAACA